rnacentral:lncRNA from 1 species
AAAAAGUGCACAAAAUACAACACCUUAAAUAUCAUACACUUGUUUCCCAGUAAACUUGACUUCAAUAGCACUCUUGUUCUUUCCAAUGGAUCUAAAGUUCUGACCAACUCCUUCACGCCCUGGGUUCACCUUUUCAGGGUACACACCAUCUUUGGGAUGCAAAUAUUGCACCUCACCAUUGGGGAAUACCCUGUAAAACUGGUAGUUAAUCUUGUAUUUGGAUCUCAACCUUGUACCAAGAGCUAAGCACUGUUCUUUCCUGGCCAAUUUCAACAAAUUGGGUCCUUCUCUCAUUAUAGCAGCACCACCUGUUGGCAUCUCGAAGAUCUGUUCCUUUGGUGAUUCCCAUGUGAUGACGUAGAAUUCUUCUACUUGGGCUUUGCGAAGAAGCCCACCAGUGCUGCCACCGAAGAUUGGGGAAGGUGUGUUUGGGUCCAAUUGAGGUGGGGUGAAUCCUGCUGGAGCGGGUUUCUCUUCGGUGGCAGCUGGGGCUUCUUCGGCCAUGGCCCGGAUGGGUCGGGUUACUGAGACGGUAGAUUUGAGUUGCUUAGGAGUAGAGAAGGAUAGGAGGGAUUGUUUCCAUGGAGCGGUGGAUUUGGGGACGGAGAGAGCAGGGGUGAAGAGGGAAGCUUGAGUUGCCAUGGCCAUUAUUGAGGAAUUGGGGGGGAAAUGUAGCAAGUAUUUGUGCAGAUUGAAGUGUGGGUGAGAAGAGAAAUCAUAUUUGUUGUUCACAUAUAUGUGGUGGAGAUAAGGAUAUUGGAUAAGGGGUAUUCAGAUGCAGACCAAUUAGAAGGUCUGAUUUUGAUACGCAUUCAGUAAAGGCUACCAAGUCCUCACCCUUUGUUUUCUUUUGCCAUGUGUUGUAUGGUCCUUGGUUAGUGUUUGGGUAUAAUAUCUUUAGUAGGUGUUUGACCAUGCGAUACCAUAUCAUGAUAUGGAAUUGUGAGAUGGAAUCAGCGUUUGGAUAUGCGAUUUCAUCUCAUGAUUUCAUAAUUCAUAUCAUGAGAUGAAAUAUCAUAUUCUCCAAAAAUCAUGGUUUGGAAUUUUAAAGGGAAAAAGGACAAAUAUACCUCCGAACUAUCGUAAAUGGUAUGCAGAUAUCCUCCGUUAUACUUUUGAGACAUUGGUGCCCCUGCCGUCCAAAAACUAGAGCAUAUAUACCCUCUAUACUAACGGAGUUACACGUGUCAUAAUCUUAUCCAUCGACCCGACAUCGAAUCGAUGGAUAAGAUUGUGUCACGUGUCCCUAUUUAGUCUUCCGUUAGAAUGAAGGGCAUAUAUGCUCUAGUUUUUAGACGGCAGGGGGCACCAAUGUCCCAAAAGUAUGACGGAGGGUAUCUACAUACUAUUUACGAUUGUUCGGGGGUAUAUUUGUCCCUUUUCCCUUUUUAAAAUACAAAAGUUGACACAUAAGCUUAUAUUUUGUUAAAACAACUCCACAUUUAUAUCUACUAGCCAUUUAUUUCAUGUGUAAGUAAAAUUAAUAAUCACAUCGUUACUUUUUUAAAUUUAUUAUUCUCACAAACAUGAAAUUUAUUAUUGCUUUAAAUUUGGUGAAUAUAAAUGAUAAAGUAGGAAUUGAGUUGGUGAGUAUAAAUAAGAACGGAGGGAGGAAUACUCUUUAGGUUUUUCAUAAUAAAAAAAAAUUCUCUUUCGGCUACGUAUGAAAAUAGUUAAAGCAAUUUAAUAUGAAAAAUGACAAAAUUGGUGAUGUAUGUUUGAUAAUUCCUACUUCCAAUAUGUUUGAUUUUAGCACGAAAUUAAUGCACUGAAAAUAUUAAUUGCACACAAGUGAAACAAGGCAGGAACCAUCUGGUAUUGACACACAAGUAAAAAUUGUCAUAACAUUUACAGUGUUACAUAAUUAUUUGCGAGAAUACCAAAGGAGUGAUGAAAUAUUUAUGGUCUAUGAACAUGAAAAUAUAGUUGUGAAUGAUAUUGACCAACAAAAGGCUCAUAGUAACAAUGUUGAUUCAUCUUCUCGGUCAUAUGAUCAAGAAUGCAAGUUCAACGUGAGAAAAUUGUUUGUACUAUGUGGGAGAACAAAUAGUUUUGUAAUAAUUUAUUAUGCGAUUUUAUAAUUUUUUGUUUAUUUGAUAAGAUUGAAAAAAUAAUUGGGGCUAUUUAAUAGGUUUACAAUUUAUGGGAUUCUUAUGUUUAUGAGAAAAUAUACAACACAAAAAUUCCAUAUCGCAUGUUCAAACAAAACUUCAACUUCAUCUCAUGAUUUCAUAUUAUGAUAUCAUAUCAUGAUUCCAUAUCACAUGACCAAGCAGGCCCUUAGUUAACUAGAUUAUGUUUGGAAAAUAUUUCAUCCGUUCACUUUUACUUGUUACUGUUUGACUUGACACACUCAUUAAGAAAACAAUUAUUAAUACAUGUAUUUUACCAUACUAUCUUUAUUAAGUGAGUUUUAGUAUUAAGUCUUGAAAAAUGAUUUGUAAAAAGAGUAUUUAAUGUUGAGAGUAAAACAUGAAAAAAUAUAAUUAUCUUUUUUUUAUACGUUAAAAAUGAGAAGUAAAAAUAAAAAUAUAUUUUAGGAAUAAGUGAACGGGAGAGUACUCCCUUAGUUUAUUUUUAGUUACUCAUUUCCUCGGCUAAAAAUAGAUGUUUAGUUUUGCUUGUCACUUUUAUCAUAAUAAGAGAAAAAUAUACUUGCUCAUUUUUAAUUUAUGUGAAGUAAUUUGAUUUGACACGAAAUUUAAGAAAUAAUUUUUUUUUUGAAACUCGUGGUCUAAAAUAAGUCAUACAUAUUUGUGUGACUACAUAUCAUUUCAUUAUGGAUAAAAUAGGGAUUUUAAAAUUCAAUUAUUACCAAAAAUAAAUAUGUAUAAUUCUUUUUUGGAUUGACUAAAAAAAUGAAUCGUAAAAAUUGGGAUAGAAGAAAUAUUUUUUUUCCUCAUAUUUUACCCGCAAUAUUAGUUUCUUAUUUUCUAAAUAAUUUUUCAAGACUUAAUAUACAUUAAUUAAUAUGAGUAUUUUAGUAUAUCACUCAUAUUAAUCAUUAUUUGGUAAUAGUAAAAGUGAAUGAAAGGAGUAAAACGGAGAAGUGGAUCGUUAGUAAAAUUGAUGAAGUUAAACGAAAUUCAUGGCAAAAAUCGCAGCGAUCUUGUAAAACUCGGAUAAACCAGUUAUCAAAUAUUCUCAAUGACGUCAAAUAAUUUAUUAGUCCUAACUGUUAAUAAACAACAACAACAUACCGGAUCCGGAUGUUGAUCUUUGUUCAUUUACUAAUCUACUAAUCCCAAAAUAAUUAAUGUUAAAACGACAAAGUUGAAAAACUAAUUACUUUUCUUUUAAUUUUUAAAAGUUGACGAGUAUUUAAGAAUAACUAUUUUUAUAAUAUGUGAAAAUUAAAUGGGAGCGGAUGGAUAUUAUACAAAAUUUAAUAAAGAAAAAAUAGAUCAAAAUUUAUCUUGAAAAGAAUAAUAUUUACAAAAUUAGUUUACAAAAAAGAUAUUAUGAAUGGAUAAAUUAGUUUUUCUACAAAUAAUAAUUAGGUUAAAAGAAUUGUUAAAGAUAAAUUAAAAAAGAAGUAAGUUAUUCUUUGGCUUUUCGGCUAUAAUGACUUUGUUGGAAAAAAAACAAACUUAGAAUAAUUUUAUCUAUUUAAAAUAAAUAAAUGUACGAAACAAUUUGUUAUAGUUGAGUGACCAAAAUGUUAAUUCACAAUACUUAUAUUUAUUUAUUGCAACCAUAAACAAUGAACAAGGAAAGAAGGGGAAAGACACAUUGCAAUUAUUGAAUAAUGAGUUUAAUAGCAUUUGCAACAAAAUACUUGGAAUUAUUAUAAAAGGAAAAGAAAUUUACAACUGAUAGUGGGAUAGGGAUUGUAGGCAAUAAUUGCCAUAAACUUAAGCGCUAGAUCACAAACCAAAGACUUCAAAACCAAUUUAAAACAUAGGAGGGUAGGGUGGAGGUAAUUAUUUGUACAUCAUAUAACAUAUUAAUUAUAUUAUAUUGUAGACCUUGAAAAUUGUAUUAUCAUCAAGUUAAACACCCUUUUGACUUAUUCAUUCUUGAAGCAUCUCUUCCAUACUGGAUGGCUCUUCCACACAUCAACCAUUCCAUCAAUGGGAACUCCCUUGGUCUCUGGCACUAGGAAGACGACGAAUAGUCCCAUAACAACGAUCCAGCCAGAGAAGAAGAAGAAGAUGUUUGCUUGCAUUUUGCAAAGCAUUGUCAAGAAUGCCUGAGCAAUGAUUGAAGUGAAAAGCAUGUUUGUGCUGACUGCAAAGGCGAAACCGGCUGUCCUUGUUUCCAUUGGGAAUGUUUCACUUGGAAUCAACCAUCCUAGAGGUCCCCAUGACCAGGCAAAUGACAUAACAUAUGUGCACACAAGGAUCACCACAAUUGUUGCUAGUGUCCUGUCUAAUGUUCCUGUUUCCUUCAAACUGAAGGAUAAGAUAAUUCCAAUUGCCAAUUGAGAGAUCAACAUUUGGCAACAAGCUUGGAGGAGCAAUUUUCUCCUUCCAACCUUGUCAACGGCGUAGAUUGAAACAAAUGUGGACCCAACAUUAACAAGUCCAGUAAUGACAGCGGACAAAAGUGCACCAUCAGACUUGAAUCCCAUGGUUUGGAACAGAACAGGUGCGUAGAACAUAAUGGCGUUAAUUCCAGUGAAUUGUUGGAAAAUCUGCAAAAAUACAGCAAUCACAAGUGGUGGGACACUGGCAGACUUCAUGAGGUUCCUGAAUGGAUGUUUCACAGCCUUGGCUUGUUCACAAGCAGCAACUAUUUCCUUAAAUUCAACUUCAACAUCAUCAACUCCCCUGACUUUCUUUAGUGCAGCUUUGCCCUGUUCGUCUUUGCCACGUUCGAUUAAACUGGCAGGAGUGUCAGUGAUAACGAAGCAACCGACCAGCAGCAUUAAAGCUGGAACGGCUGCCAGCCCAAGUGACACCCUCCAGCCGUUGGGGUGCAUGUUGGAUGUUGCAUAAUUCACAAGAUUUGCUAUGAAUAUUCCUAUUGUUACGAAAAGUUGGAACAUAAUAUUCACAGCUCCUCUGAGUUGGAUUGGUGCUACUUCUGUCAAAAACAGAGGAACAGUCUGCCACAAACCAAAUUAAUAAAACAAUCAAAAUCAUAUCCCAUAGAUAUUUGAAAUCAAAAUUAGAUCUAAAAUGAAUACCUCAUUUCCAAAACCAACACCAACACCGAACAAAAUUCUACCAACAAUGAGCAUCCAUCUGUGUUCUGAGGCAGCACUUAUAACAGCCCCAGCAAUGAAGAACAGAGAAGCCAUGAAAAUGGUAGGCCUACGGCCUAGAGCUGAACAGGCCUUGGAUGCAAAGAAACUAGAAACCAAAGCUGAUAGAUACAAUGAUGAGGUAAAUAGCUGAAGAAGUUGAUCAUCGUAUUUACAAUAGUUGUUCUCUUUAGCAUGAAGCUUCCUUUCGUAAACAUUUGGGAAAAAUUUGAUCAAGAAAUCAUCCAUACCAGACACUCCACCUGAUUCAUUCAAAAAUCAACUCAAAAUCCGAAAUCCCUAACCUUAAUAAAAAUUAAAAGAAAACGAAUACAUACCUGAAAUACCAAUAUCAUAACCAAACAUAAGCCCUCCAAAGGCAGCAAAGAUCCAACAUGAUACCACAUAGACUGUGAUCUUAGAGUUAUUUGCUUGAAUUGUCGACAUUUUUGCUUCUUUUUUUUUUUUUUAGAUAAAAAUUACCCUCCAAGAUAAAAACUGAUUUAUUAACGUAGAUGGAUUAUUGUCUCUAUUUUUUGUUUUUGUUUAUUUUAAUAGAGAUAAAACCAGCAUAUACUUACAUAUAUAGGGAGAGGAGAGACAAAGAGCUGUGUAUUUAUCUUUGCCUCGGACUCUCCAGUUAAUAUUUAUUCGCUGGAAUGAUGAUUUUAAUCUACAAAGUUAAUCCCUUUUUAUACUAUCUAAUUUCUGUUACUUCUUCCCAAUAAAAUAGAUCUACCACUAAUCUAUUCAAAAUUAUAACUGGUUUUUCUGAUUUUGAGGAAAUUAAUUUGUUGAAAACGACCUUAAUACAUGGUGGAUAAUGAAAUUAUUGUGUUUUACUUGGUCUAUAUUGUCAAAAAUUAUUAAAGGCCACUCAUUAAUUAAAGGGACGAUAUUCAUGCAUUUACACUAAGAGUAAUGAAAUCUUAUCCAUAUUUUAGAAACUUUAUAUGAGAGGAUUCUUGUGAAAAAAUAGGAUGAUAUUUAUUAAUUGGACAGCUAAGAUAUAUAUCAAGUAAAAAAAAUGACAGAUAAAAGCUGUAAUUUCUAUAUAAUAAUAAAUAAUAUUCCAUAUGUCACAUAUUACGUUUUUCGAGAGUCAAGCUGUUUAAGUUUGAUCGGAAAUUUAUUCAUGAAAUUUUUAAUUUUUUUGAAAUAAAAUUUAUAUAUUUGUAAACUACAUAAAAAGUAUUAUAAGUCACAAUAAUUGACAAUCCAAAAUAUUUAAAAGAUAUAUGAAAAAUUUACGGUCAAAGAUAGACUUGUUUGAAUUUUAAGAAAUGUGUCACAUAAAUUAAAACGGAGGGAAUAAUAAAAUGGUUUUUAGUUUGUUUAUUUUUUUUAAAAAAAUAAAAUUUGGAAAUUGUUUUUUUUUUUUUGGUAGUUAAAGUGAAGAUCCACAUUUUUUUGACUAUUUUAUAUAAUAGUUUUAAAAUGAUUCUUAAAUUUAAAUGUGAACCCAAAAAGUUUUCAGUUAGCGUUUUUUACUUUAAAUAAUUUUUAAAUAUAUUUAUCCUUAAAUUCUCUUUCUAUAAAAGUCGAUCAAUAAUGGAUAAGGUAAGCUUAUCUGAUUAUGUUGUUAGCUGUUGACCAAUUAUUUCGUACUUACAAAAGUGAAUAGUUACUUUUAAUCUCAAAAGAAGACAAUAUUUUAUCUGUUUUAAGUGUUAUUUUAAUAAAAGAAAAUAUUAAUAUAAAUAUUACCUUAAAAGUUCAAAACAAAAGUUAGUAUACUUUUCUAACUAUAUUCCUGUAUUCAAACUUUUUAAUAGUGUUCAAUUUUAAAGAGACAUCUAUUAAAUAAGGAUAAUUCAAUAAGCUAUUCAUCAUAUUUAUUGAUUUUUUACUGAACUAAAUAUUUGCUAGGUGACAAUUAUUUUGAGACGAGGGAGUACUUCCUUGGUUCAAAUUACUUGCCAUGAUUUUAUUAAAAUUAUUUAGUCCAAAAUUUUAUCAUUUUAUUAGAAAUAUAAUUAAUUAUCUUUUUCUAUUUUUAUUCUUAUUUUAAUAUUAAAUUUUGAGAGAGUAAUAUAAUGAAAAUAUAUAUAUUAAAUUAAUUACGAUCAAAAUAAAUACAUACUAUAGUUUGUAAACAUGACAAUUACAAGUAAAGUGUAGGAGUCGAUGAAAUCCUUUCAGCGUUUUUCAUGAUAUUUGAGUAAGUAUUAAAUUUGUAAUUAGUUAAAAUGUGUAUUUUUUAAAUUUCUUUUGUUUGUGAAUAUUUAUAAAUUUAUCAUAUUUAUCAAUUGUUCCACUAUUUAAUACAAUAUAAUUAUUUAUGUGUUAUAUUAAGUUUAUGGUAUUAAUACUCUACGUUUUAUGAUAAUAUAGCUUAUAUAGAAAUAAUCCAAAGUCAGUUAACACACUUCCUAUAUUAUAGGAUUAAAAUCGAUAUUUUAAAUUAAUUAAAAGUCAAAAUAUUUGAUCGAAUAUUACAAGGAUCAGAAAUCAUAACAUAAUGCAGCAAUAAUCGAGGGAGCAAAAGUGAAAUUAUUCUUUACUAUGUUACAUAAUUUAUCACCAACUACUGUAAUGCACUAACUAUUAUUUACAAUUGAAGCUACCAAAUUAAGACCCAAUUGAAGGUGCACUUUGGAAGUUUAUGCUAAGGCCAUGCACAUUAGCGGACAUUGACAAAUGACAAUAUAUUAAAAUUUUGAGAGCGGUGAAAAUAUCGGCAGAACUAGAAAUUUGUUAAUUUAAAUAUAAAAAAGAGAAAAAUGUUCAAAAAUGUCCUUAGCGUAUUAGAAAUCAUUCAAAAAUGCCUUCAUUUGACCUAUUGGGUCAAAUUUGCCCUUUCUUUCACCUGUUGGGUAAAAAAUGUGUAUAUUAGAAAUGAUUCAAAAAUACUGAUUACCGUCCUUCCACCCAUUGGAUAAAAAAUGCCUUUAAUAUAUUAGAAAUAAUUCACAUUUGUCUUUCCUUCUAUCUAUUAGACAGAAAAUUCUCAUAACAUAUUAGAAAUGACUCAAAAAUAUUUCCUAAUUCUAGUUAUACAUGUCAAUAAUUUUUUUAAUUGUACUUUCUCAAUUAUUUAGUGUUCUUUUGAUUCGUAUUUUAUUCUUUUGAAAAAUUCUUGCUUGUUUGUCUAAAUCUUAACUAAUAUGAAUAUUUGCUUUAAAUAAAAUAUAUGAACUAACGUGUGAAUUAACAUGAAUGUAUGUUGUAUAAAAAUAUUGUCUUAGUCACGGAGAAAGAAGAGUUUCAUUGUGUAUCCCCAUAGCAAAAUAUUUUUUGUUGAAUUUUUUUCUGAGUGUAUAUACAGUAUCACUUAACAUAAUUGAUACAAAAAUCUCAAUAAUUUUUAAAAGACAAAAUGUUAGAUAAUGAAAAGAAAUAUAUAAGUAAGAUGCUAAUAGAAAUAAAAUGAAUUUAAAAAAUUGAGUUUUAAUUUAUUCAAAUUUGAAUGCUAAAAAGAAUUUUGAAAAAUAUUUUAAUAUUAUAUUUAUUAUUAAAAUAUAUUAAGAUCGCACAAAAAAAGCAGGCAUAUCAAAUAGUAUUUAUUAGAUUUAUUAACAUAUUUUUAGGUAGGAGGGCAAAUUUGAAGUAUUUCUAAUAGGUUAAGGUUAUUUUUUAUCCAAUAGGUAGAAGGAGGACAUUUUUGAACCAUUUCUAUACAUCAAGGAUAUUUUUAACCAAUAGGCGGAAUGAGGGCAUUUCUGAACCAUUUCUAAUACGUUAAGAGCAUUUUUGAACUUUUUCCCUAUAAAAAAAAUAUACAUAUGUAAGAAAUAAAGAAAGUCACCAUAUAGACAUGCAGCAUAUAUAAAUAAAAUAUAAAUUUUAACUUAAUUAAAUAAUACUAUAAUUUUUCAAUAAAAAGGUGUCAUGAUAAAACGGUUUUGCAGUGGGUGACAACGAUUAGUCGUUCACAUAUUAUAAUGAUCCAUCAUGUAGAUAAUCCUACGUGAAGUAAUGAACAACGUACCAAUACUUGAACUUUAUGAAAUUUGUAUGGAUGCAAUCAAUGGCGAAUUUACGCAUAAAAAUGGAUAAACAUAUUAGCAACAUAACGUCGGGCUUAUAAUGUCUCGACGCAUUAGAGCAGAAUUUUGAACCUUUAAUUAUGAUUUUAUAUUGUCAAAAUUAAGUUAGGAUUUUUACGAAAUGUUCAUCUUGUGAAAAUAUUUCAACAAUUAAUAAUAUCUAACAAAAAAUAUACUAGUUUCAUUUAAGAAAUUAUAUGUACUUCAUAUACAACGCUUUUAAAACUAUUUUUUCCUAAAUAUGAUAACAUUAUUUCCAAGGUUAGUUACUACUACUCAUUACAGUUACCAAAUAUUAUGUAUAUAGCAAAUCGGUGGAUUAGAUUUGGAUCGUAUUUAGGCUAAUUGAAAAUGGAUUAAGUUAAAAGAGAUUGAAUUACAAUUCAUCUAUAUAGAUAUAGAUAAAAAAGAAUCGGAUAAAAUAUGAAUUCAUGAGCAAUUUGCGGGGAACUUACAUAAAUCUCACUAGUUUAGAUGUUAAUUACUUAGAUAUAAGUUUGCAAUAUUACGUAUCUUAUCUGAUUUUGGUGCCUCCAGAUACGUUCAGAUGCAUGUAACUCAGAUACAUGAUGUCAAAUUUAGGUGUAAUUUGUUCUAGAUACAUUGGAUACAUAGCAAAUCUCGCUCGCUUUCCUCGCCUCACUUCCAUCUUGCUCGCCACUCUCCGCUGUAUCUAGUAUCCCAGAUACAUGCGAAUAAUUCCAGGUACAUACAAAUAUAUGUAUCUAGUAUGAUUCGCAUGUAUCUGAAUUCUAAGAUACAUUCGAAUCUCACUUACCUCUCUCCCUAUUUUUGUGUAUCUUGUAGAAAAAAUACAUGUAUCUAAGUGUAAGAUACAUAAAAAACCUCUUAAUUGGUGGUAAGAUACAUAAUAUUUUGAAAAUAAUAAUAAGUAGUGAAGUAUGUCUAAUUAUAUAGUUUUCUUAAAAUGAUUCUAACCUAUUUCAAUGUCCUAUAGUAAAAAAAACUUUUAAUCUAUAUGAUAAUUUGCAUCAAACUAACUUUUAGCUAAUUAUUCACUGUCAAAUUAGAGAAUGCAACUUUUCAACUAUCGUUAUUGCUACAUACUUGCGGUUCAAUUAAAUCUUCUUCUUUUUUUCCCCGAAAAUAAAAUGCAGAUCAACUUGAUGUUUAAGACAAAUUAAACAAUCCUAUACCAUAAAGCAGUGAUUCUACAAAAUAACUAAACUAGUGGUGAUAAAAUUGGUCCAUAAAAUUAUAAUUGGUCCAAUUUAUUUAAGUUUAACCUGAUUUUUUACCCUUCUAUUUAUCAGCUUAGUCCAUAUCUAACCUAAAUUGAUUCAUCAGAAAUUUUGUCAAAAUAAUUUUUGAAAAACACUUUUUCUUUUUGUUUUAUAAUGCCAUAAUAUAGAAAAAAAUUAUGAUUUUUUAGGUACUAAGAAUUAUAAAAGAACAAAUAAAGCAAUUAAAACUUAAUAAGAAUUGGGCAGGUUGGGUUUCGCCCAACAUUCAGUCCAAUUCAUUUCAAUCCAAGUAAUAACUGUUGGACAUAUUAUUUAUUAACCCAACUCAUUUUGAUCCAUCCAAAUUCAACUUAAUGUACGCAUUUACCACCUCUAAACAAAAAAAAAAAGGUUUUGUAGUAGAUACAUGCACUAGAACUUUCACAACCAAUGCAAAAAUGAUAAUUUAGUUUGUUUAUUAAGAUAUAGAUUUCCUAAUCAACUUAUGCACAUAUCCUUUCGUCUCUAAAAAAAAUACAUCAGCACUUCCACAUAAAGUACUCAAAAACAAUAAUACCGAAAGAAAUGAAAACUAAGCAUUAUCAUCAAAAUAUUAUAUAGUAAAUCACAAUUUGAUAUCAUCAAUUCGAAGCAAAAUAAAUAAAACAAAGAACGGAGUCCUUUUGGUUUCAGUUAAAUUUCAAAAAAGGAGUUCAAACUAGCAUCAGCAUGGCUUCAUAUAGAACUAAAAAAAAAAACAUUCAAACUUUACUUAUCAAUGCAAGCUAAGUCUUUAACGCUAAGGGUAUAUUAUGAGCAGGUAAUAGAUACUCAACAUCUCGUGUUAUCAGUGAAAGUUUUGGAUGACGGAUUUGCUUUACGGUCAAAAUUAAGCUCUUGUAAAUUUAAAUUCAUUUGUGUUUGGCAUCAGUGAAAAUUCUGGAUGCUGAAUUUUGUAACACCUCGCUUUUUGAAAGAACUAGAAAGACAUAGAAUUAGAAAGAAACUGUUUUUUUUUGGAAAUAAUCAAAUUUGGAAAGUUUGACAAAGUUAAGCUAAGUAUGAGUUUUGGGUCAACUUCAAACGACCAUAACUUAAGGCUCAUGAUGAGUUAGGUGUGCUACCAGAUACCGUAGGAAAUAUAUUUGAAUUAUCUUUCCAACGCCACCGAGUUUGAUCAGUUUCGAUUUCGUAUGAGGGAGAUAUGUCAAUUUGAAGUUGAGUUGUCUAGAUAAGGAAAGUCAAAAUCGGAUUUUAGAAGGGUAUUAUGGUUUUUUCGACUACCCAAUUAAUUAAAUUCGUUUUUGGUAAUUAAGUUGGGGACAAAACUGAUUGGAUUCAGUUUACGCUUCAUAAAAAUAAAUUAGGGUUUUGAGCAGAGGCGAAUCUAGGAUUUCAAGAAGACGGGUGCACCAUUGUCAGGGACGGCUUUGCCCCUUUAAAAAAAAGGCAACUACUUUAGGCUUCCAAAUUUGAAGGACCUCAAUUAUCUUAGCAAUAAUAGAUAUAACUUUUUCAUAAGAAAAAUAUUAAAUAUCAUUUGCAAAAAAGAAAUUAUUAAGAGAAAAAGUUAUUAGAAAAAAUUUGAUAUACCUAGAGUACUACGUCGCAAGAAAGAUUAAAUGCAUUGGUUAUAUGAAUUAUUGAUUGAAAAAUAAUUAUUAAAAGAAUCCAAUUAUAAAAAAUAUACAAUUUUGCAUCUCAAGAAAUUUAAAAAGUAGACUUUAUAAAAAAAAGGGAAAAAUGACAAAUAUAUCCUCGAAUUAUCGUAAAUGGUAUGCAAAUACCUUCCGUCAUAUUUUUGGGACAUUGGUGCCUCUGCCGUAAAAACACUAAAGCAUAUAUGCCCUUCACUCUAACGGAAGACUAAAUAGAGACACGUGGCACAAUCUUAUCCGUCGAUCUGAUAUAUUAAAUAUCGGAUCGACGGAUAAGAUUAUGACACGUGUAUAUCCGUUAGUAUAAAGGGUAUAUAUGCUCUAGUUUUUGGACGGCAGAGACACCAAUGUCCCAAAAGUAUGACGAAGGGUAUUUGCAUACCAUUUACGAUAGUUCUGGGGUAUAUAUAUCCCUUUACCCUAAAAAGAAUAUUAAUUUUUCUUAAAAGUGUAAGGCUUCGGUUUGAUUUUGUCUCAAACCACUUGUGUGUUUGAGCCACCGUUGAUCAUUGCACGUAAGAUAAGAUCUAAAAUAAUUAUAAUUGAUUUUGUCUAGUUUGCUUACUAAGAAUGGUGAUUUCUGUUGAAAGAACAAAAAGUAAGGAAGAAAUGGGUUUUUUCAGCUGGAAAGUUUGAGCGCUACUUCAUGUUUUUUUGUUAAAUAAAAUGCUUGCAAUGGAACCUACUUUUAGAUUAUUAUUAUUAUUUUUUAUUUUUUUGUAAAAACAAGAAUAGAAGUAAAAAACAAUGCUGCAUUUUUUAAUGUUUUUUUUUCAAAAAAAAAAGGCAGACUGCAAGAAAGGAAUGUAGUAAUUGGGAAUCGAUCUCUCAACCUCACAGUGGAAAACAAACACUCAAACCAGUGAGCCAUCCAAUUAUUUGUGAUCAUGGGUUCAUUCAGUUGCUAUUUGAUAUAUUUUACAAAUUAUACAAGUAGUUAUAUCGCAUUUUGUCGGAUGACCACAGUUCAGGUGACCCAUUUUUUAACUUAAAUUUGCCCCUGGUUUUGAGAGAAGAGAAAAGAAGAGGAGAAAAGAGAAGAGGAUCAAGGCGUUCGUCGAGGUUCCUGCGUUUGGUUGUGGAUUUUAGCCAUGGGUUUAAUUCCUAAGAGGUAUGUAGCUUCCAUAGUGUUGGGUUUGUUCACCCAAGCGCCAAUCAUGUUAUUUUUCGUGAAAUUUCAUUCUUGAAGUUGAAAAAUUAGAGUUCUUGAUGAGUUCUUGAUGAGUUCUUGAGAAGUAUUGUUCUUGAAGUUCAUCCUAAAUCUUGUUGUGUUGGGGUUUUGAGGGGUUUUUGAGAUGGAAGUGAGUGUUUUGAGAGUUGUAUUGAGUAGAUUAGAGUGUACUUAUGUUAAGUAAUCGAAUCCAAGUGAUUGGGGAAAAAACCAUUCGAUUUUAGGCAAGUUAGGGUGAGAAAACGAACAAAGAAAUUCGUCGGGUUUUCUGGGUUGGGGCCUAGCGCGUCGCGCCAGCCAGUGCGCCCCAAAUUAUGCUAUGAAGUUUAGGGGCUGGCGCCCCGCGCCACUCAGUGUGCCAAGGUCGCCUGCCCCGUCCAGUUUGCAAUCGGUUGCUCCGUUUGAGUUCUUUCGAAGGGUACCCUCACUCCUUUUAGAUUCUAACUACUCUAAGCUACUUCUAAACACCUAGAAAUCAUUCAUAACAUGAUCAUAACCUUGAAUUAAUAAUUUAAAAUUCAAGGUAGAGUUAAGAGUUAAGUUUUGAGAAUUCUUUCGGACAUUCUAAGAAAAAUCCAUUUGAGUCCUUUUGUGGAGUCUUCUACGACUUCUAGUAACUUGUUUCACGCCUCGAGCAAGUGAGUAUGAGAAUGAGGAGAAUGUAUUCAUGAGUCUACUUUAUCAUCGCGAUAUCCUUCAUAUCAUGAACCAUAACUCUUGAAUUCAUAAUUCACAUUCAAAAGAGAGUUAAGAGUAGAGUUCAAGAAAGUCUUUAAGUUAAAUUAUGAAUCCUUUGAGAUCAACUAUUGAUUUGAACUAAGUUUUGAGCAAGUAAGUAUGAGAAUGAGAAGAGUCAUAUACAUGAGUUCCAUAUUGUUAUGUAGACCCUUGAGUCGAGUCGUUCAUGCCCAUAAUUUCUCAUGAACUCCAUAAAUUGAGUAUCUUUGAGAGGAGUAGUAUCUUCAAGUUCUAAGUCUUAAGUAUUGAGUUCCUAACCCUUCUAAGAUUAUAUUCCUAAUCAUGGAACUAUUACAUGUUACCCAUGAAGUCCUUAAGUUGAGUAGUUCAUGCCCAUAAUUCCACAUAAACCAUAUGAGUCGAGAAAUCUUGAGAUGAAGAAGAGUAUCAUUGAGUCCUUGAGUUGAGUUGUUCAUGCCCAUAAUUCCACAUGAACCUUAUGAGUUGAGCAUUCUUGAAAUGAGUAGUAUCAUUGAAGUUCUUGAGUUCUAAGUUGUUGAGUUCCGAGUAUUGAGUUCCGAGUAUUGAGUUCUUUGUAUGGUUAUUGAAAACCUUAAAUUGAGUCGUUCACGUCCAUCAUUCGGCAUGAACCUUAUUUUGAGAAGUCUUUUAUAUUUUUUUCUAAACUUGUUUUAAGACUUGAGCACUUGAGUUGAGAAAGAGUAGAGUUGAGUUCAUUUUCCUUAAAAUGAUAUAUGAGAACUAAGUAUUCCUAAGAGUAAAUGUUUUCACAUUUAAAAGAGGAGGAAACUGAGAUUUCCAAAAGAGUUUUGAGCAGUUGAGUAACAUCUCUUUUUAGAGAAAGAUUUUGAGUAAUAAUCUCAAACCACAUAAAGAGUUAUAUUUUUAAAACAUAUGAGCUGAGUAUAUUUUGGGAGUAGUAUUGAGCACCGAUAUGGGAACGAGUUCAGAUAACUCAAGUCUCCAUAAAUCAUGUAGCCGGCGUGGGUAGAAAGGGUCAUACAUUUUAGAUGAUUCCUUAGUGCUUGUUAGCACACACUAGUGGAUCCACUUAGUUGAGAGGUCUUAUACCUUGGCAAAGUAUAGGACAGUUCUGGCAGCAUGGGUGAGACGUUGUAUCAUCACAUAACUCAUAGUGAUGGUUGUCAGUUAGAGAAACUCCCACAGAGUUAUUUUGUUAUUUUUAUUAUACACACUGAGUAUUAUUGUAUUUUUCAAUACAUUGAGUUGCUAUUUACAANNNNNNNNNNNNNNNNNNNNNNNNNNNNNNNNNNNNNNNNNNNNNNNNNNNNNNNNNNNNNNNNNNNNNNNNNNNNNNNNNNNNNNNNNNNNNNNNNNNNNNNNNNNNNNNNNNNNNNNNNNNNNNNNNNNNNNNNNNNNNNNNNNNNNNNNNNNNNNNNNNNNNNNNNNNNNNNNNNNNNNNNNNNNNNNNNNNNNNNNNNNNNNNNNNNNNNNNNNNNNNNNNNNNNNNNNNNNNNNNNNNNNNNNNNNNNNNUUUACAACUUUCCAUAUAUAUUGCAUAUUUUAUUAUUGCUUUAUCCUUGAGUAUCAUGAGUUGAGUAUUUCGAGUUGAAUAUCUUGAGUAUUUCGAGAUGAGUAUCUUGAGUUGAUUUGUGCUUCAUUGUGUCGAGUACCUUAUUGUUGAGUUUCACUGAGUUGAGAACCUUAUUACUGAGUUGAGUAUCUUAUCCUUGAGUACUUCUGAGUUGAGUAAGUUUGAGUAGUUUUGAGUAUUCCUUGAGUUGAGUAAGUUUAAAAAGAGAUAAGUAUGUUUUCUUUUUAUCAAGUUCAAGCUUAUGUUAUGCUUUAGAAUUUCCCUUACAUGCUCGUACAUUCCACGUACUGAGUCAUUUGGCCUGCAUCAUUUCAUGAUGCAAAUACAGGUAUUCAGGGUCAUUAACAUGAGCUUCGUUGAUACCGCAUGGAGUUUGAGUUAGCUAUGGUGAGCCUCCUUGUUUCCGGAGGAUUUCAUUUACUUUUCAGUUUUGUCAGGAUGUCGUGGGUCUUGUCCCGACUUCCAUCUUUGUCAUUUAGAGGCUUCAUAGAUAGACAAUAUAGUUUCAGAAGUCUAUUAAUUUAAUUUGUUAAAUGUUUUAAAGACUUAAGUUGCCUCUUUUAUGGCGAGUUGAAUAAUUUAUUUUAUUCAUAGUUUUUCAUUUGAGUUAAACUUUGUAUUUGAGUUUCAUGAAUUUUUAUUUAGUUUUUAAGCUUUGUAUGAUUGAGUUAGUCCUCCGAUUGUAGUUAGCCAGGAUGAGGGUUCGCUUGGGAACCAGCAAUGGUUCUUGAGUGUCAGCCACGUCUAAGGUGUAGGCUCGGAUCAUGACAAAUUUGCUUUACGAUCAAAAUUAAUUAAGCUCCAACAAAUACAAAUUAUAUCGUGUGUUAUCUCUAUUACACUCAACUGAUUCUCAUACACGUUAAACUCUUCAAUAUCUUCCCCUUUUUCUAUCAUAAACGUGCAUUCCUAACAAAAAUGAGAUUGAAAGGCAGUAGUAUUAUUUAAACCAUAAUGGUGAAUUAUCUAUAACUUUUUCAAUCUUGCCGAGUCACAUGUUCUAUUUUGCAGAAAUAAAAUUUCACAAACUUCAUCUUAUAUAUAUUAUGUGUGUAGACUUUUGGAAUUCGUGUAUGGCCUCAAACAAACACCAAGGCAAUGGAAUGAGAAGUUCUUGAAAGUUGUUUUUCAAUUUAGCUUUAUUGAUCCGAGUCCAUAUGAUCAUUCUCUGUUUAUAAAAAAAGAUGGACAAGAUUUGGUAGUCAUCCUAGUGUUUGUGGGAUAGUGGAAGCACUCUGCAGUCGAUAAAGAAAGUCAAAAUAGCAUUAUAUCAAGUGUUCAAAAUGCAGAAUCUAGGUGAAUUAAGGUGUUUUUUUGGAUAUUGAGUUACCGAGUGAAAGUAUUUUUAUUUAUCGUUCAAAAUACUCAUUAUAAUGAACUUUCAUAAAAUACACCACAAAAAUAAUAAUUUAGAAUUGUGAUUUUUUACUUUUACAUAUUAGUUGAAAGGAGACAACAAAAGAAUAAAAAAUAAUCAAAUUCUAAGGAAAUUUUUUAAAACAUUGAUCCGGUAAUAGUUUUUUUUUAUAUAUAUAAUUGACACAUUACAAAAUACCGAAAUAGUCAUUAAGGAUGGAUAAUUUAGUCGCGAAUAAUAUUGAUGUGGAUACUAAUAUACAAUUAAUGAAAGAAAUUUUGGUCGUUAAUAAAGUACUUGUAUAAAAGGCAAAUCUUGUGGCUAAGGAGGAAAUAUAACGACUAGAAUUUAUAUGGUCGUUAAAUGUACUUUUAACGACCGAGUUUCAAUUUGAUUCAUAACUAUUAACUUUUAACGUCGGAACUUUUAACGAUCGGCACAACCAAAUUUGUUCGGAUCGACAAUUAGCGUCCAGAUUUGGACUAUUAACGACUAAAUUUCCCCUCGCUAAAGAAAUCUUUUCUUGUAGUGAAAUUACUACAAGUUUUUCAAUCUUGAAACGAGUGGUUCUAUUUUAGAGAAGAAAAUUUUCACAUUCGUUUUUCUUGGUCAUAUUCUAUAUAAUAAAUUAAGGAUCUAUCAAUAAAAUUAAUGGCUUAAAAUAAUAUUCUUAAAUAUAUAAAACACGCAUAAAAAAUAAUAAUUUAAAAUUAUGUUUUUUUACUUUUACAUAGAUGUUGUUUUUAAGGUAAACAGUUAAAUAACAUAAUUUUCUUAAUUAACAUCGAACGAUAAUAUAAAAUCAAGAGAUUAAUUCUAGUUAAUAAGAUGUUAGUCAUGUGUUUGCUAUAUAUUACCUUGGAUGUUAUUACAAAAAAAAUAUUUAUUAAUAUAAAAUCUUGAGUUAUUUGAUUGAAAGUUCUAAAAUACUUUUCAUAAAAAAUAAAGAUAACUUUUCUAUAUAUAUAAUUUUGAACCUUUUUUCUACUAUCUUCAUUUUAAUUGAAAAUAAAAUUAUAAUUUCAACAAAUUUUUUGUCUCACAAUAUUUUGGGGUCCUAAUACCAUUUACUGCCUUCACCAUCGAGCCACUCAUGUAUUCAUUCAUAGGACCAUGGUUAACAUGAGUGUCAAAUGGCGGGUUGAAUUGAAAUUAAAGAUAUUAAAAUGGGUUGAAAUAGAAAUCGAGUUGGGUCUUGAUCCACUCAAGUUUACUUUGGAUUCAAAUGAGCUAAAAAUUGAGUUGGAUCAUGAACCGCGCAUCUUGACCCGCUUAAUAUCAAUAAUUUUAACAUAUUUAUUUAACUUUUACAACCACAAUUUGAAUUUCAACUCAAUUUUUUUUUAAAAAAAAUAGUUACAAAUGGAUAGAUAAAUCCUAAAAAAUAUAAAAUAUAGUAAUUCAUACUUUGAUAUAGAAACAUACAUUACAUAAAUGAAAAUAAAGAGUCUUAAAACAGGUUGAAAUUGAAGAUUAAUUUGGACUCAAUUGAAGAUUCUCUUAAAAUGGGUUGAGAUUGAACCCAGUUCAAAAUUAUCUUGAGUCCAACCCUUAAAAUUUUGAUAGAAUAAGACAUGUUACCUAUAUUUAGGCUCAUUUUUUACCAGGGGCGUAUCUAGAGGGGGUGUCGUGGGUUCACGUGAACCCAUGCUUCCCUCUCUAGAUCAUAAAUGCAAAUAAAGAGUCUUAAAACAGGUUGAAAUUGAAGAUUCUCUUAAAAUGGGUUGAGAUUGAACCUAAUUCAAAAUUAUCUUGAGUCCAACCCUUAAAUUUUUUAUAGAAUAAGACAUGUUACCUAUAUUUAUGCUCAUUUUUUACCAGGGGUGUAUCUAGAGGGGGUGUCGUGGGUUCACGUGAACCCAUGCUCCCCUCUCUAGAUCAUAUAUAAUAGUGUUAUAUUUUUAAAAAAAAUAUUUAAUUAUAGAUGUGUGAACCCACGUUCAUAGUAUCAUAUAAUAAUAUGAUGAUGAUUGGGUGCACCUCUCUAAGUGAGGAUAAAAAUUUAAGUCUUAUAUCUAUCUUAUCAUUUUGAGUAACACCUCUCCAAGUGGUUAUCGGUUACACUUUUGACGUUUCAAUUAAUUUAUCUUUUUUUUUCCUUUAAUCUUUCAAAUUUUCAAGUGUGUUACAUUGAAUGUUUCUAAAAGUUUUAGCACUGUAAAAUUUUUAUAUAAUUAAAUCAAAUGUGUAUAUUAAAAUUUAAAACUAGUAGUAUUAUAUAUUUUAGACCUAUAAUUUUUAAAAUUUAAUGGUUCAUAUUAAGAACCUAAAAGUCAACCCGAUCAAAUUUAUAUUUAAGAUGUAUUUUUUCCUAAUCGUACACCCAUCUUGCCGAAAUCCUGAAUACGCCUCUUUUUACGCCCCUAAUUGUUAACCUCAGAUAUUAAGUACAGCCAUUAUGUGCAAGAUACUUUGUAACAUUAAAAAAAAAUAGAAGUAACAUUUGUCAUAACACCUAUACAAAUAAAAAUACUAAUCUAUAGGAUUAUCACCCUAGUUAAUUAUGUUCAUUAGCUGUCUUGGUUAGACAGGAAUACUUCAAAAUACAAAUCUUAAUGCCAGCUUUUUCAUGAUAUCUAACACAUUGUGAACACUGCUAAAGGAUAAUUACCUCAUAAAAUAUUUACUCGUAGUUGAUGUAAAGAUAAAAUAUAAUGUUUCUAUUGAAAAUAUAUCAAGAAAUUAAGUGUGUCACAUGAAUUACGAUAAAAAAAAAUUAGUUAUAAUUAGGAAUCCCCUUUAAAGGGAGUUUAGGAAGAGCCAAGAUCUGCAUGUUCUGUUUAAUUUUGUUGGGAAGUGAACAAUCACAUGGUUUGAAAAUUAGCCUCAUGUGCCCACAUGCCUAUAACUUCUCCUAUGUCAUUAUGAACUCUCUGCUAGGUUAUGUAGGGUCAAACUGCUAAAAUAUUUGUUUUACUCACUAAUUAACUACUACAUCUUUUUUUAAUAACUAAUUGUGAUAUUCUAGCUAAUUAUUCAUGCAGAUUUGGACUAUUCUAUCGAGUUUUGAUUAAUAUAAAUAUCAAAUAACUUUAUCAACAAUGUUUAGAUAUUUUCUUUUCCAACGUAACGUUACUUACCAUUUUAAAUCAUGAUCUCUAAAAAUUUUCUUAUAUGCAUUAUUGACUCCUAAUUGACCUCACUUUGUGUUUGACAACCCUAACUAUUUUCUUAUGGUAUGCUAGAUAGGCUAUAGAGUUGAGAGAUCCAAAAAAUUUGAAAGGAGACAGCGAAAGUCCAAAGAAGAAAAAAAAUCAAAUUCUUAGGAAUUUUUUUGUUGAAGAAUUGUUUUAUUGUCUUGUAUGCUUAUAUUAUAAAUAUUGAAUCCUUUUAAAGACAAUAAUAAGAUUCCAUGUUACUAUUAGAAAAAUCUCUCUUUUCGUACCAAAGUUGUCCAUGCAUGUGCCUUUUCCAUUUUUUUUUAAAAAAGACAGCAAACAGCUCAUUUGUUUCUAUUUCACCAGACCACUUAGUUUAAAUAUAUAUAUUCUCACCGUCCAAAUAUUUACUAUUAGCAUAUACUAAAGAACCGUUAAAAAGAGUUCAGAAGUUCAAUAACACACUACGACGCCCCAGAGAUGGGGAGCAAGGAUUUAGGGCGUGUUUGAUACGAACGAAAAUGUUUUCUAAGAAAAUAAGUAAAAUUUUAUUUAUUUUCUUGUGUUUGAUAUAUAAGUUAAUUUUUUUUUAUAUAUAUAUAGUUUAGACAAUAUUAUGCGAGAUGGGGUGGGGUAUGAAUGCAUGGGGAUGGGGAUGGGAUAACGAGAUAGAGGUGAUGCGUGUUGAAGAAUGAGAAGAACCAAAUCAAUUUAUAAUGUCAUUUAUAUAAUUUGUUUUUCCUACUUUUACUUUUAAAAGUAAUUUUUCCUAUUUUAAGAAACUUUUUUUUAAAUUUUAGAGAACUCAUUUUCUAAAUAUUUUAAUCAAUCGAAUAUGGAAAAAUAAAAAGCAUUCUCAAUAGAGAACACACCCUUAUAGAUUGUUUAAUUCACGAAAUAAGAUCAUGAAUAUCUCAGAAUUAAUUCAUACUCUAUUUAAUUGAUGAUAUUACUAAUAUAUUUAAAAAUAAAUUUAUACCUCAAACUUUGGUGUUAGCUUAUCCUAUUUGAAAUGUGAGACAAAUUAAUCUCAAAAUAAUUUUAUGCGCGAACAGAAAAAUGCCCAUGGAUUCUAAAGUUUAGGACAGUAACAUCAAGUAGUAGUAGUAAAUUUCACUUCUAUAUAUAUUUAACGAUUUUUCUAAUAAAAAUUAACUCUAAAUUAAAAUUAUUGAGUUCGACCACACUUGCACACUAUUUCCCUGUGUUCCUCCCCUUAUAAAGCAGAACUAUUCUUGUUCUUACCUUUAGCCUACUCCAUUUUCUCUUCCUCUUUUACUGAUACAACUAAAAAUGAUGUCCUUAGAAACUGCAUCUAGAUCUGUUGAUCCGAAUUCGGGUCCUCGAAUUUCCUUCUCCUCAGAAUUUCUUGAUGAGAAAAACUUCAUAUCCAUUUGUCCAAAUUCUCAACCAGAGAAAAAGCGCGAAAAAGAGCUUAAUGCAGCAGAAUUCGAGUUCCUAUCCAGCAAUUUCACAACCGGAAACAUGACAACAGCCGACGAGCUAAUUUUCGAAGGCAAAUUACUUCCCUAUUGGCAAAUCCACCAUGCUGAAAAACUCAACAAGAUUAGUCUCAAAACAGAGCAUGCUGAGGAACAAGUGAAUGAAAAACAGGGGAAUAGUAAAGAAGAACAGAGCAGGCCAGUAAAUUGGUUUAUCGAUGAAGAUCCAUCUCCUAGACCACCAACAUGCACUGUAUUAUGGAAAGAGUUAUUAAGAUUGAAAAAACAAAAACAAAGGCCUUCCUCAUUAUCACCUUCAUCUUCAUCUUCAUCAUCCUCUUCUUCUUCUAGCGCGAAUUCUGAAAUUUCGCCCACAGAUGAAAGCAAAGAGAAACAUGUAGUGGACAAGAUUAAGAAAAGAUUGGAGAGAUCUAAAUCAGCAACUAUAAGAGUAAGGCCUUUGAUUAAUGUGCCGAUUUGCCGACAGGGGAAAAACAAUGCAAUACCACCUAUUUUUCCUAUUAAGAAAGGAAGAGUAGAGAGAUGAUCAGAGCAGAAAUUGAAGGUUAUCAUCAGUUUUACUCAAAUUUGUAUAGAUGUUCUAUACUCUUUCCUUAUUUUUUUUAAAAAUAAAUUAUUUCAUUUGGAUUUAGAUUAAUGUUCCUUCUAAGGAUAUUAUGAUUGUGUUUUCAUUUCUUGUAAUGUAUCAAAAACUUAUUCCAUUGUAAUCCCACAUUUUUAGCUUUUCAAUUGUCUUUUUUAUUACGUCAGAAAUCGGAGGUAAGGAAAGGGGAAAUAGGGAGGAGAUUACAAAAUAGAGAAUCGAAUCCUUAUCAACGAGAUGAAAGUCCAGACAAUAAACUGAGCUACUGAGAUCUCGAUAUUUUUUAACUGAAGUAUUAUAUUUCAAAACAAGAAAAAGCGAACCAUAUAGUUAGUUGUUUUUAGUUCAUUAUGAACCUUAUGUCUAGUUGACUUUCCUUAUUAAUUUUCUCCCUGUGGAGGGGAUAUAACAAAGAAAACAUGCAUACAAUUAAGUUACAAUAACUGAAAAAUUGUGUUCAAAUAAAUUUCAUGGUGAAUUACAGUAAAAUACAUUUUUAUGUAAUCUAUUUUGAGGACAAAUGAAUCAAAUAUUCAUUUUUCCGUUAUAAGAAAAAAACACAAGGUAAAAACCGUUGGCCAAGAGAUGUUAACGUUUCCAAUUAAGUUUUCGCAACCAACUCUCAUCGUCAUAGUAAACACUAUAUUGCCUCCAGCACUAUCCCUAGCGAAAAUCACCAUGGGGUCGCCGUUUGAGUCUUUACAUACGUGUGAAGCUACCCAUUGUGGGGCAGUCCAACAAUUCUCUUGAGAGUGUAUAAUCAACAGACACGACGAUGUCAUUUGAUAUUGAGAAAAGGGUGGAAACAACUGUAUGGCUGGCAACAGGACCGGUAGCGGGACUAUCGGAAUGGAACCGGGUACCACGGGACGGACCGCCGUGUGGUGCCCGUGGUAAAAAGCUAAAUGUUUGAGCCUCAGGUCGCGGGAUCAAACCCGUUUGACACAUUUUCAUUUUUUCUUUUUUAAAACUGCUGGCUCCUCUCAUAAAUCACACUCUCUCUCUCUCCCUAAUUACUUGUCCACUUUUCCUUUUAUAAUUGUCCCUAAUUACUUGUCCAAUUCGACAAAUAAAGAAAUGACAAUUUAUUUAUUUUACCUAUUAUAUCUCCAAUUAAAUGAUUAAUUACUUUGAAAAAUGUAGAACUUUUCAUCCACUUCAUAAUUAAUAGUAGUAAAAUGGUAAAUUCACUAUGUCAUUAAUCAUUUUCUUAAUAGGUGUGUCAAUUCAAAAGUGAACAAGUAAUUAGAGACAGAGGGAGUACUUAAUAGCUUUUCGACCUUUUUCAUUUUUUCUUUUUAACCAUUGUUUCAAAUUAUUUGCUACUUUUUUUAUCUUUAAAUAAUUUUAUACUUAUGAAAUUUAGCCUAAUUCAUCUUACUCCUAACAUUAGAUAUUAUUUUUCUAUCCUAUAUUAAUUAUUUACAUUUUACUAAAAAUAGUUAUUAAAAAUUAUUUGUCAAUUAACAAAAUUGAACAACAUUUUUUUUAUUUUCAUUGUCCAAACAAUUAAUUUUUCUUGAAAGUGUAAACAAAAUUUGUAAAAAUAUGCAAAAAUGUGUAUCUUAAACUAUCAUUUUUAUUUAUAAUUUUUUAAAAAGUAAAAGAAAAAGUUAACAACUAAUAGAAAUGGAUACAUUUUUUUUUUUCUCUUCUCAAUAAUUUCAUAAACACUUAAAUACAUCAAAUAUUCUCCAACAAGAAAAUAUAACAGAAAGAUCAUCAGUAAUUUUAACCAAUAAUUAUAUAAGUUUUGGUACUAUUUUCAUGUAACCCAAAAUCAAAAAUACAUCCAUAAACUCCUACAUAUAUACAUACUCUCUCAAUUUAUAUGAUAUUUUUUUAUUCUUGAAAUUCAAGCUACGUGAAAUUUAAUUAAUAUUUCAAAGUAUUUAUUAUUAUUACAUUAGCAUGAUAAGAAUUGCAACUUAUGUUUGUUCAUAAAUAUUACCUUCUCGCUAAGUUGCAAUUCAACCAAAAACAUUACUAGUUGCAAUUCUUAUCAUGUUUAUAUAAUUUUAAAAAAGGAAAAAAAAAAUAUGCCUUAUAGCUUGAAUUUCGAGAACAAAAAAUAACCUAUAAAUUAAUGGAGAGAGUAAAAUGAAAAAACAAAAAUUGGUUAAUUAUAUUUGUAUUUUUGUUGAUUGACAAGUAAUUUUAAAUAACUAUUUAUGUUUAUCCUAAAAAUAAUACAAUUGAUUUUGUAUGAGGUUAAAAACAGAUAUCUUAAUUUAUGUUAGUUUAAAUCUUUUUUAAAUACAUAAUUAUUUGACUUUAAAUCAAAAUUAAUAUAAAUAUAUUUAUCUUUAUUUGAUUUUUGAAAAAUGAACAUUAUGAACCACCAUAAAAUUUUCGUAAACAACCUACAAGCACUUUUUUAAAAAUUUAUACAUGUUUAUUUCUAUUUUAUUGAUUGAUUUGUCAUAUAAAUCGAAAAGACGAGUAAUUCGGAUCAAACAUAAAGUUAAUUUAGCCGAUGAAUCUAUUUGGCACCCAAAGACUCUAAAUCCUGGAUCCGCCUUUGGUUGCGACAGUGACAAAUAUAACUAUGCUCCAGGUAAAAAUUCUCAUGAAUAAAUCGAGUAUUUGAAGUUGAAAGUAAAAAAAUGUGGUGUUGGAAACCUUUGCUUCUCUGCAAUAUCGCCUUAUCUUUUUGUCAAAGGCCCUCACAAGGUACUCAACUAGAAAAAGUGGAUGUUAAGUACACAAAAGACUUUGGCUAUUUGCUGACACUAGUCCUAGGCAUGAGAAUUUCUUUUAAUUGAAGGAUCGGGACAUAACCAUAUCUUUCGCCCAUUGAGUUUGAUCAUAUCUGUGCUAUUGUCUGAUCAUAAUAAGGCGAAUGGAGAUAUUAUUUCAUUUAAUAUCCUCAAUACAUAAACACACUUCACAAUUUGAUAAAAUUAGCAAUACAAUUAAUCAGAUUUUUGGCUUUGUCACUCUCAGGAUUCAAAAUCUGAAAGCAAUGUCCUUCUCCUUCAACAUCAAUCACCUCUACUGAUGUCCCACUUUUCUCCACAGCUUCUGCAUAACAAAUCCCCAAAUUUCUCAGCCCAUCUUUCUCCGCUACACACACCAAAAUCUUCAAACAAUCCAGCUCUGCCAAUCUUCAAGGUUUUUCAACUAAUGGAUUAAUCCUCAAACUUACACUUUAAUAUCUUCAAACAACCCAACUCAACUUUGUUUAAUGAUAUAAAAGUGUAAGUUGAGUGAUUUUAUUGAUACAAAACAAAGUUUAAUGACUUUGCUAAACAGUUUCUCAAAGUUAAGUGACGUUUUGAGAUAUUAACUCCAUUAUUUGAGUUAGAACAAGCAUAAAGGCAAAAUCCUUGAGCAACUUGGUAAUUCUUAGAGAUCUAGCUUGUCUGCCUAGAUUUGAGCUACAAUAACAAGUUGUUCUUGUUAUCGUGUUACUACUACUUUGGGUCUCUCCCAUACUUUGUUACCCCAAAAUGGAUUAAACAACUCUUUGUUGGGAAAUUAUGGAUUUCUUUUGUGUAAAUCCAAGACUUUUUAAGUGAAUCCUAGAACUUCUGCUUGUAUUAUAAUUUGAUUUAUUGAUCUUCGUGUAUCUUGUUCAUGACAUAUAUCGAAGGCUAGCUCAAGCCCACUAAUAUGGGAUUUUAGCAUGAUCAUAAUUAAAUGAGAGAUCUAUACAUUCUUGUUUCAAUUCAGUAUGUCUCAUUCGGUAAACAACAAGAAUAUUAUGCAUUACUUUUUGAACUAGAAAAUAUCAACUCUAAAUAGUAAAGUCAUUACGAAUUUGGUCACCUUGAAAAAAAUAACAAUGCAUUGACAUAAUACAAAAAGACAAAGUAGCUCAAUAACACAAAUUCACGUACGACAUUCAAAAUUAUAAUUUUCAAACAAUCUGAAACGGAAGAUAAUAGCUAGUUAGUUGCAAUAUGUUGCAAUAACAUUUUAUUUUAUUUUGAUUUUAAUCACUUGUUGUGAAUAAAAGAAGCAUAAUGCAUCAUCAUAUCUUUAGCUUUCUCACAUUCAGGUUUAUAUAUUUGAAACGAAUGACCAACUUCUUCAAGUUCAAUAACCUUCAAUUCUCCAUUCCAUCCACUUUUCUUCACACCUUCAACAAAUCGAAUCAAUGUUUCUCCAGAAAUAUACUCAUCUUUCUCCGCGAUACAAACCAAAAGUCUUGAGCAACCCAACACCGAUAAACUAGGUACAUUUUUAGCAAGUGGAUUAAUCAUUGGACUAUCCAUAACAGAUAAUCCUUGUUCUAGCGAUGGACAUAUGUUUAUCCAAAUCUUAUAAGGUAUACCCUCUUGAUCGAUGUUUUCUAUCAAGAAGUAUGGAAAAGCAAGAAUUGAACCACAUAUUCCCACACCACAAUUUAAACUUUCUUUACCUGCUCUCAUUGUCAUAGUAAAAACUAUAUUACCACCAGCACUGUCUCCGCCUAAGAAGAGUUUAUCAAAAUCACCAUAGGUUUUUAACCAUGGGUCAUAAUUGGUAAAAGUAUUGGUUAUAACAGAGUCGUCUUUGUUAGCAUGAGAAGUGACCCAUUGAAGUGCGGUCCAACAAUCAUUAUAGAUUGUUGGCACGUCAUUCUCUGGGGCUAACCUAUAGUUUACGGAUAUGAUAAUGGCGUUUAAUUGUGAAGCUAAGAGAUUUACGUAACGAUGAGUCCAAUUGGUAAAGGGGGAUUCGAUAACUAGUCCUCCACCGUGGUUAUAGACUAAUACGGGGAGCUUUUGGUUGACAGUAGUAGUGUUUUUUUGGAAGAUAGAGCCUAGCAGAGACAUCAGAUGAGAUGAUAAUGUCUUUGGAUGAAACGUCAUUAGUUGUCUGUGAUAGUGGAAUUCAGUUUACUGUAUGAGUUUAUAUAAUUCAAUGGUAAUAUUAUGUUCAUUUAUUUUCUCACUUGAUUUUAUGAGUUUAUAGAAUUCAAUUGUAAUGUUAUAAUUCACUUGAUUGUAUGAGUUUAUAUUGUAAUACUAUAAUUGAUUCAUUUUCUCCCUAACUUCAAUUUAUUAUAUGAGUUUAUAAAAUUCAAUUGUAAUACUAUAAUUCAAGUGUAUGCUUUGUUUAUCACAACAAUUGAACUAAUGGUCGAGGAGCGUGAUUCAAACUUCAUUACUUGAUUUGUGGGAUUUUUUCCUUGAUUCCUGGGAUUUUUAAAAAAAAACUAUCACAUUUAUUAUUAAUUAAAUUUAGAGUCUUAUAAUUUGUAUAUAUAUUUAAUAGUCACGUGAGAUAUUGAAGAUUUACAGAGUUGUUUGUAGAAGAACAGAAGAUUAAUCUUUCAUAGAUUUGAGAAGAAAAAGUUGUAUUCAAUAAAGCUGUAUCACAACUAUUUAUACAUGUACUUCUCAUUCUAUUCUUAGAUCUAGAAUGUAACUAACUAACAACUUUAUAACAGAUUAACUAACUCCUAACUAUAAACUUGAAGAGUAGUUACAGACUCUUAUUUCUAUCAACACUCCCCCUCAAGCUUGGAGGAGCAAAUAUGUGUAGAACUCCUAGCUUGGACAAUAAGAGCUCAUGUUGUACUCUAUUUAGUCCUUUGGUUAGAACAUUAGUUGGCUGACUUUAAGUUGGUAUAUAACUGAUGUUGAUUAACCCUUGUUGCAGCUUCUCUCUACUGAAAUGACAAUCGAUUUCAAUAUAUUUGGUAUGUUCAUGAUAGACUGGAUUGGCUGCUAACUGAAUUGCAGAUUUGCUAUCACUGUAUAUGUUUACUGGAAGAGUUAUUUCAGCAUCCAAACUCUUUAGCAGCCCUACUAACCAUACUAACUCAGCUACAGUAGAUGCCAAACUUUUGUACUCAGCUUCAGCUGAACUCCUUGAUACUGUUGUUUGCUUCUUAGCCUUCCAAGACACCAUAGACUCUCCUAGCUUGAUCACAAAUACAGUCACAGACCUCCUUGUAGUAGGACAUGCUGCCCAGUCUACAUCACAGUAGGCUGUGAUUUCAGUGCCUGAACUGCUGGAUAACAACACACCCUGGCCUGGUUGUUUCUUGAUGUACUUGACUACUCGUAGUGCAGCAUCUAUGUGGGAUUUUUUAGGUUGCUGUAAGAACUGACUUAAUGUUUGCACACUAAAUGAAAUAUUAGGUCUAGUCAUGUUCAAAUAUAAAAGCUUUCCAAUCAACUUUUGAUAGGCACUUGAUCUACAAGCUUGUCUCCUUGAUUUUCCUUUGUUUGAUCAUCAUAUUGUUUUGAUGUUAGCUUGACAUUCACAUCCAUAGCCUGAUGGCUUAGCACCAGAUAAUCCAACUUCAGCAAUCAGUUGGAGUGCAUAUUUCCUUUGAUGCAUAACCAUUCCAGCCUCUCACCUUGCAAACUCUAUUCUAAGAAAAAAUCUUAAUUCUCCCAAAUCCUUCAUCUUGAACACUUGUUGUAAGGCUUCUUUUGUUUCCUUAAUCAGCUCAAGACUACUUCCUGGAACCAAGAUAUCAUCAACAUAUACUAAAAUUAUUGUGAAUCCUUCAGAGGUUUUUCUUGUAAACAGAGAAUGAUCAUGUUGACUUUGAUUGAAACUGAGUUUUUGUAAUGCCUCUUUAAGCUUUUGAUUCCAUUGUCUAAGUGCUUAUUUAAGACCAUAUAGAGACUUUACCAGUCUGCAUACUUUCUUCUCCCCCUGACUGGUAAAUCCUUGUGGCAAGGUCAUGUAUAUUUCAUCGUGUAGAUCACCAUUUAAAAAGGCAUUGUACACAUCCAUUUGAUGAAUGUGCCAUUUUCUUGCCACAGCUAAAGCUAGGAUAGUUCUUACAGUCACCAUCUUUACCACAUGUGAAAAAGUUUCUUUGUAAUCUAUCCCCUCUUUAUGACUGUAUCCUUUUGCCACUAACCUUGCCUUAUACCUCUCUACCUCACCAGUAGACUUGUAUUUUAUUUUGUAGAUCCACUUACAACCAAUUGCAGUCUUUCCUUUAGGCAAUUCAGACAAUUCCCAAGUAUUGUUACUUUGCAAAACAUGUAUUUCAACCUUUAUUGCUUCUAUCCACUUUGGAUCUUUACUAUCUUCUACAUAUAUUGCUGGUUCUUGCAGCAUAGAUGUUAAAGCUAUAAAAGUUUGAUAAGGCUUAGACAACUGAGUGUAAGCCACACAAUUAGAAAUGGGAAACUGUACUUCCUUGUUAAUGUUUAAUAAUAUAAAAUCCUUUAUCCAUAUAGGUGGAUGAACUCCUCUUGUAGACCUUCUUGUAACCACUGGCUCUACAUUUUCUUGAGUUUCAUUAACCUCAGGAUCAGGUCCUUCUAUCAUUUGAUCUAACACUGGAUCAUGCUCAGAUUCUUCUGGCAUAUCUCUUUCUUCUUCAUACUCUGACCUUAUGUUGACAUCUCUUGUGACAUUGUCACUCCAGUCGAAGUUCAGUAUUUCCAGAAUCAUGUCAUUUACAAAAGGACCAGUAUCAUCUGUUGACAAUCUGGAUAUAAAUGGAAACACAGACUCUUGAAACCUUACAUCUCUACUUACAAAGAAACUCUUGGAAGCCAAAUCAAGCAAUAUAUACCCUUUUUGAGUCUCUGAAUAACCCAUAAGAACUGAGGCUUUGGACCUGGAUGAUAACUUAUCACUUUCUGAUAAGACCUUAGCAUAGCACAAACAUCCUAGUACCCUUAGAUGUGUUAGCAGUGGCUUAUUUCCAUAGAGCUUCUCAUAUGGAGAUUGUCCUCCUAGUACCUUACUAGGCAUCCUAUUUAUCAAAUAUGUUGCUGCAAGCACACACUGCCCCCAAUAUAUUAAAGGAAUGUUGCCUUGAAACCUUACUGCCCUAGUAACCUCUAACACAUGUCUAUGCUUCCUUCUUGUCACUCCAUUUUGUUGUGGAGUGUAAGGACAAGACCUUUGAUGUAUUAUUUCUCUAUCUUUGAACAUCUUUGUACACACAGAAUUUACAAACUCUAACCCAUUAUCAGACCUUACAUUCUUUACUACUUUACCAAACUGAGUUCUAACAAACUGCAGAAAAUAUGACAAAGUAACACAUACAUCUGACUUAUUUUUCAACAGAAACAGCCAAGUCAUUCUUGAGUAAUCAUCAACCACUGUAAGAAAGAAUCUAUUACCAGCAAAAGUAGAUUGUUUGUAUGGACUUCAUACGUCCAAAUGAAUCAAGUCAAAACAGUCAGUACUCUUACUGCUACUACUUGGAAAUACAACUCUUGUUUGUUUUGAACAAGGACACACAUUACAUUUAUUCAAAGCUUUGUUCACAACCUCUGGACUAACAGAAAAUAACCUGCUCAAUGCAUGAGAUGACAUAUGCCCUAAUCUUUUAUGCCAUACAUUCACUUCUUCUUCUGAUAACUGCUUUGCUUCUUUUCCUUUUCCUUCUGCCAAACAUGACUGAAAUUGCACCUGACCCUAUGUAAGAUUCUUCAACAGCAAAUACAACCCAGCCUCUUCCUUACCAAUCUCCCUCACCUUGCCAGUGUAGAGUUCCUGAAACACACAGAAAUGUGGAAAGAAAGUGAUUGAGCAUCCUAACUCCUUUGUCAUCUGACUGACUGACAACAAAUUGUAUUUGAACUCUGGAAUGUGAAAUACAUUUGUGAUUACACUUCUUGGGGAAAUUGAGCAGGAUCCAGUGUGAGUUACAUAUACUACUUUACCAUUAGGCAAACUUACAGGUUUUGGAUCCUUGACAUUCACUAUAGACUCCUUAGUUAAUAUACCAAUAUUAGAGCUCAUAUGGUUGGUGGCACCUGUGUCUAUAAUCCAUAUCUCACUAUGUUUAGAAACUAAUAGAGUUUUACCUGCUGAAUUAGCCUGAACUCCAUGAGUUGCACUACCUGAUAUGUUUCCACAAUCUUGAUUCUGGUUAAGCAUCUUCAGAAUUUGACUGUAUUGGUCUUUGGUGAAAGUUGCCCCUGCUGCUGCUAGAGAAUAGGUCGUCACUUUCUUUGCGGUUGAUGCGGUUAAAUCAACUAGUAGAAGGAAGGUGGCACAGUUAAUCAAUUGAAUCCGCGCUUAGAAAGAAUAACUUUGAAGCCACGUUUCACCCACUGCACUAGUGUUAGCUUGUGAUGUUUGACCCUUAUCAUGAGUGGCACUCCCAUAGUUGAAUAAAGAAUCAUUUGACAUCCCAUCAUAUACAUUUUUUUUUGUAGUAUUAAAUUCAUUUCCAGUCAUGUAAGCAUUAUGACCUGCUCCAUUAUUCACUUUUCUCUUCGACUUAAAAUCAGGAGGGUAUCCUAUCAACUUGUAACAUUGUUUUUUAGAAUGCCCUUUGCAUCUGCAAAAUUCACAUAUCAACCCCAAGUUCUUCUUGAACCUGUUAUAUCCUUGGAUGUUAGACUGACCUCCAGUUCUUGAAUACAUUGCUAAGGGAUUAACCCCAGUAGAACAGAUGGAGUUCAGUCCUAUAUUAACACCACUGGAAGUCAAUUUCUGACACUCAUCAUUCACCACCAUAGCAUAGGCCUGAUUGACUCCAGGAAUUGGACUCAUCAACAAAAUUUGACUUCUUGCCUGUCCAAAUGACUCAUUCAAUCCCAUCAGGAAUUGAUAGAGCUUUUGUCUAUUUUAGAUGUUCAAUAAAACCUAUCGACCUCUCACAGUCACAUCCAGAAGAUGGCAUCAAAGUUUCAUAUUCAUCCCACAAUCCUUUAAGCUUUGUAAAAUAGACAGACACAGAAUCUGUUCCUUGUUGAAAUGUAGCAAUUUCUUUAUGCAAACUGAAAGUUCUUGACCCAUCCAGCCGAUCGAAUCUUUCUUUCAAGUCACUCCAAACCCCUUGGGCAGAUGUUGCAAAUGCCACUCCUGCUAACAGACUUUAGGACACAGAAUUUAGAAGCCAAGAGAGAACUAUCGCAUUUACUCUUUCCCACUGACCUCCUAACUCUGCACUCACAUCAUUCUUUCUACAGGUUCCAUCCACUAGUCCAGUUUUGUUUCUUCCAAGCAAUGCCAAACGAAUGAUCGACUCCACACAGCAUAGUUUUCGAUCCCAAGGAGUUGAAAAGAGAUGAGCUUAACCCCACUAACAUCAGCAGGACUUAAGUACAGAGGAUGAUUAUAAUCCACUACUUAAUUUACAGGAAUCAUUGGUGUGGUAUUUCCAUGACCAGGAACUCCACCAUUAUCGAUCUCAGUAUCUUGGCCACCAUUAUUUGCCAUUGAUCUUGCUAUUUUUCUUGAUUUGUAUCGCGGAAGCUUGAUGAUUCUUCUUCCAGACUCUGAUCUUCAGAAAUCUGAUGAAUUUUCCAGACUCUGAUCUUCAGAAAUCUGACCUUAUGCACCUGAUCUACUCAGACUUUGAUCAAGGCUCUGAUACCAUGAAGGUUUACAAAGUUGUUUGUAGAAAAACAGAAGAUUAAUCUUUCAUAGAUUUGAGAAGAAAAAGUUAUAUUCAAUAAAGUUGUAUCACAACUAUUUAUACAUGUACUUCUCAUACUAUUCUUAGAUCUAGAAUAUAACUAACUAACAACUUUAUAACAGAUUAACUAACUCCUAACUGUAAACUUGAAGAGUAGUUACAUACUCUUAUUUCUGUCAAUAAAAGGUAUCAUGUACCAUGUACGUCAUAAAAACGUUCGACUCGACCGUCUUUAUAGACUCGAAAGAAAGGAUAUACAUCUUUAACAACCUCAACAUUGUUUUCCAUGAUGACCAAAAUAAUUAGUGUUGAGAGGCUUGUGAGAAUUUGGAUGUCAAACAUUGAAGUCACCCUUUGGAUUUUAUAGAUAGAGAUAUUUUUUAUAGUACAUUAUUGCUUGUUUUAGUAGUUCCAAUCUUUUUUUCUAGUUGUUUAUAUUUUUUUGUUUUGUUUUAUAGUUAUUAGAGAUCUAGUAAAAAUAUUUUUUUUAUUCAAAUUGUUAAAGGUUAAAUAAUGACCUUAAUGUAUUAGAAAUGGUUUUAAAAUGUUCUUCGUUCACUAUUGAUUGAAUCAAGUAUGUCCAUCCUUUCAAUUUUUGGGUCAAAAUGUCCUUAACGUAUAAGAAAUGAUUUUACAAUGCCAAUUUUCCACCUAUUAGAUCAAAAUGUCCUUAACCUAUUAAUAUUGGUUCAAAUUUUCUUUCUUGAAUUAUUUUUAAUAGGUUAAGAAUAUUUUUGAUCUAAUAAAGUGGGAGGAAGAUAUUUUUUAUUUUGAAUAAUUUUUAAUACGUGAAAAGCAUUUUUGAUCCAAUAGCUUAAAGAAGGGUAUAUUUGAUCCCGUAGAUAAAAAGAGGAUAUUUCUGAAUCAUUUUUAAUACAUUAACAACACUUUUGAACCUUUUCUAAGUAAUAUAUAAAUAUUAUCCAUCCAAUAUGAUUGGCUUGCGUAUCAAGACUAUGGAGGGAUGACAUAUUGGAAUCUGUGCCGGCAACGGAUCUACGGGGUUAAUACCUCAGAUGGUCACUCAACUAUCCACUUUUGCCUCAGAAAGUCACUCAACUUUUAUUUUUCACUAAAAAGUCACCAUGUGAGUGACUUUCUGAGGAAAGACUGGAUAGUUGAGUGACCAUCUGAGGUAUUAACCCCGGAUCUACGUAUAUCACCAUAUAUAGCAAAUUAUAAAAUAUACUAGUAAUCAAAUAUGUCACUAGGCAUUAUGCCUAAUGAAUAAAUUUUAGGAAAAAUUACUUAAAUACACAUUUUAUUUUAUCAUAAUCUCUAAAAUUUUCUACUAUUUAAAAAAAUUUAAAAACUCGGAUACAUCGCUGAUACAUCUCUAUCCCCCUCUCGGAUACAUUACUUCCCUCUCUGAUACAUCAUUCCCCUCUCGUAUACAUCUCUCACCUAUAUGUAUCUGAAUGCCUGUUGAUGUAUCCAGAAGUCCAGAGAUGUAUCCGGAUAUCCUAUUCCCUCUCUGAUACAUCUCUCCUCUCUCAGAUACAUCCCUCAUCUAUGUAUCUGGAUGUCUGCUAAUGUAUUCGGAAGUCCAGUGAUGUAUGUAGAAGUUCAACGAUGUAUUUGAAAUCCAUAAUUUUUAAGAGAUUUUUGUAAUUUGGAAAAGAGUAGGGAAAUAAUGUAAUUAGCUCUUAACACUACGAGAUUUAGGUACAUUAUAAAUUUUAUUACUCCUUUAGUUUUAGUUUUAGUAUGUUUAUCUUAUUUUUCGUUUCAAUUUUUUUAAGAAGAUAUUAUUUAUUUUAAUUUAACUUUUCACCUGAUAUGUUUAAAAUUGAAAGAUUAAAAAGCAUUUUGCACUCUAUGAGCAAAUGAAUAAUUAGCAAUGGAAAAAAUUCAUAGAUAAAUAACAAAAAUUUCAUGCUAAUCUUACUUAAUGAUGAAUUAUAAGAAAAUUCAAUUAGUUAGGAAUGUUUUAGCGACUGAUUAGUUGGAAUUAUCGAUAAUUUUUAUAGCUAAUUUCAUAUUUUCUUGUAGUGUUGAUAUAAUAUGCAUAUUCUUAAUUUAAUAUCACAAGAUUCAAUUUACUUUUACUUUCUUAAAUUUUAUGUUAAAUCAAAAUCAGAAAAAUUAAUUAGAACGAUAGAAAGUAGGGAAAAUUGCAUAUAAUAGCAAACUAUUAAUUCAAAUUAAAUGUUAUAACCAUAGUUUGAUUUAAUUGUACCCCAAAGUAAAUUGUUGCUAUUUUGCCUCUCUCCUGGUGAAUCUCACUCGCCACUCUCGUUCUCAUUGGGCAGUCUCCCUCACCUAUCUCGCUUUUAUACAAACACAAAUGUAUAAAAUGCGUUUGUGUUUGUAUAAAGCGAGAAAAUUUUUGUAUAUAUACAUAUAUUUUCAUUCCCCUCUCUCCCCUCUCCUAGAUCUCGCUCGCCACUCUCACUCGCCUCUCUCACUUUAUUCAAACACAAAUGUAUACAUUGCGUUUGCGUUUUAUAAAGCAAGAAAAAAUUGUAUAUACAAAUAUUUUCGUCCUAUACACUUAUGAUUAUACAAAUACGAUCUUCCCCUGCCCAAUUUUCUUUUGUCUUUAUCUCUUUCUCGCUUUAUACAAACACAGAUUAUAUAAUUGAUCUUUUGUUUAUGUAUAGCGAAACAGAUUAUACAAUUACUUUCUUUUGUAUAUGUAUAGCGAAAUAUACAUAUUUAUGUUUGUUAUGAAGCGCAAUUAUGCAAACUAUAGCUAUAGUAUACAAAUAUAAUUUUUAUGUUUGCUAUACGUAAAAGUUGCUCUAGAAAGUAACAUAAAGCAACAUCAGAAAUUGAGAGGGCACCUCUCCAUUUUAUUAAUAUUUUAUGAAUCACGAUAGUAAAUAAAAAUAUGGGGUUACUUACUUACUUUCUUGUUUUCCUCCAAUUUUAAAGUUUUUUUUGUUAAUAUUUAUUUAUUUAUUUAUAAUCCAUGUAUUAUUGCAUUAGGUGAAACCGUUAUUUUAUAUUAUAAUCAAAACCAGAUUGGCGCAUAGUUGAUCAUGUGUAUAAUGUGAAAUAGUUUAUUAAGAGGAUGCCUCUCCAUUUUAUGUUAACAUUUUAAUUCAAUUACCUUUUAUUUAUUGUUUAUCUAUAAAUGUAAAUAAAAGGAGUUCUUCGAUAAAUGUUACUCAAUUUAUUGACUUAAUAUACCAUUUAAGAAGUAAUAAAUAAAAUAAUUUAAUUUAAUUAUAUUAAUUUUUAAUUAUAAGUUGAGGAUCUUUCGAAAAUAAUAUUUCUACCUCUACGAAGUAGUGGUAAGGCUUACGUACACUCUACCCUCUUCCAACCCCACUUGUGAAAUUUCACUGGGUAUAUUGUUUUAGAAAAUAUAUUUAAGAAAUGAAUAUAAUUAAUAAUAAGAUAUAAGAACUAAGUAAUAAAUUAUUUCUUGAUUUAUUUUUAAAUUAAACAAAUAAAUUGAACAUCAACUUUUAAUAUAUCAACUUUCAAUAAAUAAAAUUGAACGAGGAAAUAUAAUACCAGGGAGAUGAUCUUAAGUCUUAUAAACAUAUAGCAAAAUUAUAUUAUGGGAGUCAUUUUAACAAAUUGGCAUCGCGUCUUAAGCAUAAUCUAGAAACUUCUUAGAUAUAACUUACCUAUAUAUAUAAUCUAAUUAAUUAAUCGUAACUUGUUUACAAGUACAUCUAAAAAGAAUUGGGAUCUUAAUAUUUUUAGUUAGACAGUUAAAAAUAUUUCCAUCCUUUAAUGCAGCGGUAACCGUUGUAUACUUGGUGCAAAACAAGUGCAUAAUAAAUAUAAGAAUUAUGUAUUAUAUAUACGUAUUGAUUAUACAAUAAUUAUACAGGCUAAAUUUUGUGAAAAAAAGAUUAAUAUUAGUUUAAGAAAAUUUCGUAAAAGGUUAUAGUGCACAUGUAAAUAUGUUGUUCAAGUAGAUUUUUGCUAUUUAUAUAACAUCACUAUUUUUUUUAUUUUGUAUCAGAGUUUUGGUGCAAUUGUAUCACAUACACAAUUUAGUUUGUUGUCAUUAAAUGUGCAACUCCUUAACUGAUGCGAGUAAUUGAUGUAACAAUGUGAUCAAUUAUAUUAAUUUACGGAAUUUAUAUUAUUGAUUUGUGGAAGAACUGUAAAAAAGAUUUCAGUAACAAUCUAUCUAAAAAAGAAAAUCGAAAAACAAAUUCUGAUGAUUUUUAUUUAUCCCAUUGCCUUCAUCUUCUUUUUGUUUAUUGGGGUAUGGAUUGAAAUAUCAAAGUUAAUCUAUUGUUGUGGUGUAUCAACUAUUCAAGUUCUAAUACGGAAUUUUGGGAUCUUGAACACAGAGAACAAUUACAUAGAUUAUGUAAUUGAUGAUAUCAUAAUACCUUUCCGAUAGAUGAUGUAUCAUGAUACCUUUUCAAUGCAUUGCAUAAUAAUAUAUUUUCGAUACAUUACAUAAUAAUACAUUUUCGAUACAUGAUGUAUCAUGAUUUUUAAUACAUUUACAUGAUGAUACAUUUCCGAUACAUGAUGCAUCAUGAUAUCUUUCUGAUACAUGAUGUAUCAUAAUACCUUUUCGAUACAAUACAUAAUGCUACAUUUUCAAAAAAAAAUAAAAGAAAAAAAUAUAAAAUAAUGCUAUAAUACCUUUUCGAUAAAAUAAUGUAUCAUAAUACCUUUUCGAUACAAUACAUAAUGCUACAUUUUCAAAAAAAAAUAAAAAAAUAUAUAUAAAAUAAUGCUACAUUUUCAAUACAUUACAUAAUGAUACAUUUUUUUAUACAUUUCCGCUACAUGAUGUAACAUGAUAUCUUUCCGAUACAUUAUAUAAUGAUACUUUUCCGCUACAUGAUGUAUUAUAAUAUAUUUCCGAUACAUUACAUAAUGAUAUGUAUCAUGAUAUAGUGUAUACGUUAAAACAAUUACAUACCUCUUUGAUACUUUAUGUUUGGACGACUUGCCUUCAGUAACAAUCAUGCCAUGAGAAGAAGAAAUACGUACAUAGAUAUACUUAUAGUUAAUUAAAAUAUUUACCUAAUAUGAAUAAUCACAAAAGUGUGAAUUUAGGAAAAUCUCUGAUUUAAACUUGAAAAAAUUAAAAGUAAAUCAUGCUAAAUUGGUGGAGUCACGACGUACAAGAGAAAUACAAAUAGUAUAAGUGAGAGAAACAUAAGCAAAAAAAUUAGUCGGAUAAUAAUUUCUAAUCACGCGUGAAAUAAGAAAUUGAGUAUAAACUGUAUAAAUUUGCUAUUAAAAUAGUUCUAUAAACUUUGUUAGAUAAUUAUUUUAGAGUAGAAUUUAAAAAAGUAAAUAUAAGAUUUAUUGGUUGUUGUAUCAUAAUUUUCUCCUAUUUUGUUAAAGGGUCCAUACAUGUGUUAAUCCCAAGAUACAAAGAUGUAAGAGUAGAAAGAGGCUAUGGAUACUUGAAGAGCCCAAUUUGCGAAAAUGGUUGCUACAACUUGUCCAUAGUCAAUAAUUGAUAUUUGAUCUCUUUGAGAAUCACAUUGGGCUUUGGCAUGCCUAAGUCUCAUAGCCUCCAUCUCCACCACUUCAUAUCACCUCUCAUAAUAUUGAGCAACUUUUACAUAUACCAAACAUAAAAAUCAUAUUUAUAUGUUAUAACUAUAGUUUGUAUAAUUGCGCUCCAUAGCAAACUUUAUGUUUGCUAUGGAGCAUCAGAUAGUAUAACUCGAUGGCUCCUCUUCAGAUUUGUAUAAUUUCGCUGGCAGAUUAUUUGUAUAAAUCGAUGUCAGCCUCUCGUUUGUAUAAAUUGUUGGCAGCCUCUCAAUUCAAUUUUAUGUGUUUGUAUAUUUGCAUAAAAUUUGAAUUUGUGUACAAUUGAAUCGAAAUAAAACGUUUGUAUAUCAAAUCUCUCUCUCUCUCGCUUUAUACAAACAUAAAUUAUACAUUGUAUUUUGUAUAAUCUGUGUUUGUAUAAAGCGAGAAAGAGAGAAAGGCAAAAGAGAACUGGACAGGGGAAGAUUUGUAUUGUAUAACUAUAAGUGUAUAGGACGAAAAUAUAUGUAUUUGCAUGUGUAUUAUACAAUUUUCUCUCGCUUUAUACAAACAGAAACACAAUUUAUACAUUUGUGUUUGUAUAAAGUGAGAGAGGCGAGGGAGAGACUGACGAGCGAGAGAGGGAGAGUGGCGAGCGAGAAUUUCAGGGAGAGAGGCGAAUGACAACAGUUUGCUACGGGAUACAAUUAAAUCAAAUUGUGGUUAUAGUAUUUAAUUUGAAUUAAUAGUUUGUUAUUAUAUACAAUUUUCUCCAUAAUAUUUAACUAAAUUGUAUACUCUAUAAAUAUUUUUAAAAUUAUAUUUUUACUUACAUGUCGAACACAAUAAAUAAUACACUAAUGUUUCAGAAAAAAUAUUUUCCUUCGUAGCAAACACACCCAAAGGCUGUGCAAAAAUGAAACCUCUUCGUGACAGCUCAUGUAUAAAAUUCUAAGUUACUAAUAAUUAACCUCAGUAGCUUUUUUGUAAACCCUAUAUUUGUACUAAAAAAUUAAAUAAAUACAUAUGUAUAUUAACUUGUGAACCACUAGCAUAACUGAUUGAAUGUUCAGAGGUAAGGAAGGGACCAUGUAAAUGUUUGGCUCCGACCAUGCAAAUUUAUAUACCAAAAUAUUUUUGUUAUUGUUGUACAAAUCAUGAUCACUAGUCAAAAGAAUAACAUUAUUUCAAUUCUCAGAUAUUGUUCCAUCAUUUAUUAACUAUGUAUAAUUGAAAAAUGUCAACUUGCAACAUUGCGAUAGCAAAUAAGCAUAGCAUUAAAAAAAAAGGGGUAAAAUACAUAAAUCCCACUAGUUUAAGUCCUAAUUACUAAAAUUUCCAAUAGUUUCAAAUAUUACUUCCUCUACCAUAUUUUGUGUUUAGGAUAUACAAGUCUGAAUCCGCGAGAUACAUAUAUCAACUGAAUUUUAAAAUCAUGAUACCUAUUUUAUUUGUUUGAAUUAAUUGGUUGUAACUAAUUUCCUUAAUUAGAGGAGUAAUUAAGGAUUUUCAAAAUUCAUGGACAAUUAAUUCUGCAAAUUUAAAUUAAUCAAAUCCCUUAAUAUAAGGUGGAAAUCUAGAAGUGUAUCUAUGUUUAAUUAAUUUAUUUUUUAUUAUUCAUUGAAAUAGUAAAUUCAUUAAUAUUAUUAAUAACAAAAACAUGUAUAUCUUGGUCAUGUAGUUUGAUUAAUUUCAUUUUAUAAUCUUAAAAUGUGAAUCCAUUGAUUUGGUAUAUCUAUUGUCAAUAUGUGAUGUAUCCAACAAACUAAAUACUUAGAUACAUGAGUAUCAUACAAAUACAUUCAUAUGUAUCGUAGAAACAUCUAGUAUUAAUUCCAUGUAUCUAUUAUCAAUAUAUGAUGUAUCCAACAAACUAAAUACUUAGAUACAUGAGUAUCAUACAAGUACAUUCAUAUGUAUCGUAGAAGCAUCUAGUAUUAAUUCCAUGUAUCUAUUAUCAAUUUAUGAUGUAUCAAACAAACUAAAUAAUUAGAUACAACUACAUUCUUAUGUAUCAUAGAAGUAUCUAAUAUUAAUUUCAUUAUUUGUUAUAUUUAUCUAAUAUUGUCCUCGUUAUACAAACACUAUCGAAGAAAAUUCAACCAAAAGUUGAUAGAUAACACAUUUCAUCUGUGGCUGAUCUUUUUCCGCCGGAAAUGGAGCCGCAGAGGAACGUUUCUGGUUGGUUUUGCCGUCACCCGUACUAAGAAAAUUCAACCAAAAGUUGAUAGAUAACAUAUUUCAUCAUUGACCGAUCUUUUUCCGCUGGGAAUGGAGCCACAACUGGCCGUUCCUGGUCGGUUUUGCCGUCAUCGCGACACUAUCAUCACCAAGAUGUCUCCCGGCUUCAUUGAGGAGGAUGCAAAAAACUCAUGAUUUGCGCAUAGGCAUAAGAAUUGAAUGGAGGCUAUCUUACCGGAAAACCCUUUUUUUUUCUUUUGUACUUCUUUUUUAUGAUUAUGAAAGACAAAUUUUGUAUUGUGUAAAAUAUCUCCGGAAUCGUUGGUAGAAAAAUAUUUUGAAUUGCUAAUUGACCAUUAAUUAAGGAGUUCAAAUUUUAAGAUAAUUAUUCAAUAUCAUAUUUAAGGAAUUUGUGUAUCUGAUUAAAUAUUUUAAAAUAUAUGGUAUAACUAUUAAAAGUGAUAUUAUGUGUAAUUAUUUUAAGCUAGAGGUAAAUUAAGUAUAUAUGAUAGUGAAGUAUGUGCAGAGUGCAGUUAGGUAGUUUUCCCUUAAAAAAAAUCUCUACAUUAAUCUAUCAUUACUCAAUUAGCAUAAAAACAUGGGAGACCCUUGUACUUGGCCCGUUUGUCACCUAGACCCUUCUAUUCACAAUUUUGUCAAUUGAACACUUAAAGUUAUUAAAACACAGUAUUUUAAACCUCUUUGAUCAUGUGUGUCUCCCAAUCGCGCUGAUGUGGAUAACACCUCACUAUCCACAUCAGAAAUAUAUUGCCACAUCAUUUUUUUUAUUACAAAUAGUAUUUUCUUAAUAGAAAUCUCAAACUAAUCUCCAAAAUUCUUUAUUUUUUUAUUUCUUUCCAUUUCUUCUUCUCUUCCCAUAUUUUUCAUCUAUUUUGCUACUAAUCAUUCAUUUUUUUUCUUUUCUAGUGAAUUUUUUUCGUUGAAGAGGAAUUAGAGAUAAGUAAAACUUUGUUAUGUUUUUUAUUAUAAAUUUUACUAUUUUAAUGGUGGUGAGAAAUAAAGUGACCAAAAUGGAGGAUGAGAGAAAGAAGAGAAGGAGACAAAAAAUGGGUCAUUAAAGAAAACUCUUCAAAAAUGUUCUCAAUAAAAUUGCCUUACAUUUAGAAAGAAUCUCAAACAUAUGUUUUUCAAAAAUCCAUCUAAAAUCCGCAUCUAUUUCACAAUUUAGAACCUCUUUCCUCCCACCCCCUCUCUUUUACCCAAUCUAAAUAAAUAUCUUUUCCCAAUCAUUAUAAAACUCUCAAAUGAUAGAUAACAUAUGAGAAGAGAAAGAGGAAGAAUUAUGUGUAAGAGUAUUGAAAGAGAUUGAAGGAGAUGUGUGUGUGGUGAUGGUGGGGGUUGGGUGAAAUUAUGAGGAGGAAGAAGAAGAAACGUACAGCAUUUGGGAAUGGGUUUUUUUUUUAAAAAUAAUUAAUUGUUAUAUUUUUCUUUAAAUUCUUUUUUAAAAAAUAAAUAAAGGUUUGUCUUCACUUGCUUUUAAACGUGUGUAACCACUCUCUUGAUCUGAUUCAGCAAAAAAAAAAACACCACAUAAGCUUAGUCAACGGUCAAAAGGGUUUAAAAUAGUGUGUUUUAAUAACUUUAAGUGUUCAGUUGACAAAGUCGUGAGUAGAAAAGUUCAGGUGACAAACGAAGCCAAGUACAAGAGUGUUCCAAGUCAUUCCGCCGUUCUUGUAAUUAUAAAGCUAUAGCUAGUACAGAUUCCACACAUAAAAAAUGCACAUAAGAUUCCAUCAAAGUACCCAGUACAUAAUUUGUCUGUAAAGCAAAACAUAUAGAUGACCUUUGAUGUCAACUAGGGUAUCAUUAUUCCAAAGUGUUUUUAAUGUCUUUUCAUGCACUUUAUGUCAAAGGUUUUUUUUCCCUAAAAUUGUUAAAUCAAUUUAAUUGUUAACAUUGCUAAUUAUGGUAUCAAAAGAUAAGCACUAACAUGGCAGUCAGAAGGAGUAGCAAGAUGGGCAUCACGAAGUAAUUUUAGUACGCAAGAAAAUAUUUUUUCUCGAAAAAAUAAGUUCUUUGAAAAUGAGGAAUGACCUUAGGAAAAAAAAGUUUCACAAUUAACAUUCCACAUCGAUUAUAUCCUUUCCGCCCAAACACAUGCAUCUCAUCUUCACCCCACCAUCACCACCCAACCUCCCAUAGUAUUUCUCUAAAUUAUACUUUCAAAAUAAUAACUUUUACUUAUAUUUCGACACGAGAAAACAAGUAAAAAACAAAUUUAUUUUUCUAGAAAAUAUUUCCAUCAUGCCAAUCGCACACUAAAUGUGUCUAUAAGGUAGGGUUGUUCACGGAAACAUCAUAUAAUUAAAAGAAAUGGAUAAAAAUUGAAUUAAUUAAUUUAAUUCUAAUAUUUUAAAAAUUAAGUAAAUUAAUUUAGUCAUCUUUUAAUAAAAUAUCAAUCCAAAUCGAACCACGAACCCUGACAUAUCAAUCUGGUUCUCUUUUUUUUUAAAAAAAAAAGGUUAAAGGGGCAUAUCUUCAUGUCAAAGUAUCAAAUAUUAGUUUCAACUAGGACAAGGGGGAAUGACGUAUUCUCACUUAUAUUAUUCUCCAAUUGGAUGCCUUUAGUUAAUUCAACCUCUAAAAAAAUGAAAUGGAUUCUGAUGUAGAAAUAAUGUGCUUUCAACUUAUUUAAUCAACUAACUAGUCAAACUCCAACAAAUUAAAAGCAAAAGAAAAGAUUCAAAAAGUUGGGGUAAAAAACAAAUUUACCCUGUAGAACGGUGAAAAUAUCUAAUUUUGUCUAAUUAUUCCAUAUGUUCUGUCAUUUAUUAUUAAAAUAGAUUUUCCUUUUAUUUGUUACUUUUGACAUAUCAAGAAAAAAUAAAUUUUUUUCCCAUAUUUUAUCUUUAAUAUUAAAUAUUAUUCUCCAAAUCAUUUUUUAAAACUUACUACUAACAUCAUUUAAUAGGGAUAACAUGGUAAAAUAUCUAUAUCAAUAAUUAUUUUCUUGAAUGUGUUUAGUUAAACAGUAAACAAGUAAAAAUAAACGAAUAAAAUAAUAACUAGUAAAUUCCCACAAUUUCAGUAAGAAUUAAUUUUCCAUCAUACAUUUUCCCAGUAAAUUGAUUCGAUUGAAAACGAGUGGAAAAAAUCAUUAUCAUGUUUUAGGCAUUGACAAAUAAUUCAUCUCUACGACCAACUGACCUAAGCUCAAAAAUAUUCUCCAUGCCUACGUCUGACUCAAAAUCUUAACUCUGAUUCUUUAAUUUUUUGCUUUGUACUUUUGUUGUAUAUUAAUUGCAUUAGUUUAAUUAAUUGCUUUAACCCUUGCUAAUGAAGAAGAAAGCAUUUGGUUGUACUUGCAACAAAUUAAAUGGAUUGAAAAGCUAACAUUGCUCAUUUAGGGUCACCAAAGGUUAUUAAGAUUAUUUAUUCUAUUUAAUUAGUUUAUUAAUUGGGAGUACUACUGUACUUUAAUCUUUUGGACCACCAUAAUAUAUAUAUAGCUGUUAUUCAGAUCACUUGAAUUAUACACCUCACUAACAUUUUUUUAGUAAGUUAAAUUCACUUUCGAACAACAAUACUUUCAACAAAGAAUCCAUAUUUAUGAUUAUUUUAUUUUUUCAAUAUUUUUUUAUAUAGAAAGCUAGCCUGGGAUUCGAUACAAGUGCUCUCAUCCAUGUUGCAUGACUUUAAAUAGUAAUAGGUCCAAGGCUUGAUUCCAUUUUGAUGUAACAUAGUUAAAUAUAUGGAAGUAUAUCACCUUUUAUGUUUUAUUAUAUUUGACAUAUCAUUAAUUACUUUUUUAAAUUUCGUGUCAAGUUAAAAUAUGACUAAUUGAAAUGGAGGGAGUAAAAGUUAGUAAUAGAUAUCUAGUUGCGUGCACUAAUUAAUGAAAUUAGAAUUAUAUCGAUAAAGUGAGAUCAGAGAGGGAUCAUGUGACGUACGUCCAUGAGCAGAGGGUGCAAGCGUUUAAAGAAGGGAUACACAUUAUUCUUUAAGUGAAUUUUACAGACCUUAUAGGAAUGAAUUCAGAAAUAAUUGUAGAAACGUCUAUUGGGUUAAAAACCCAACGGAUAAAUUUGUAUGGGCCUAAACUUAAAAAGAACAAUAUCUUAACAGUUGAAUCAGGACCGCUACACUUUUAAAUUCUUUAUAUUGUAUGGAAUGAAGAAAAAAUAAUUAAGAGUUGUGAAGUUGCUUCAAAUUUGAAUUAUCCACUUCAUUUUCUUUAUUGAUAUUAUGUAAUAUAUAUAUAUUGCGAGUUGCACGAGAACACCAAGUUUACGGUUUUUGUGUAUAAAAACAAUGAGCUAGAAGCUCCAAAACAUGAAACUACGAAUUAAAUAAUAAGAAAUAUUUCAUACAUUAUCUAGGAAAAACAAUACUAUAAUUUACUAGAUGGUGUUGGAAUUUUCUAGCCAGUUAGAAUAAAUUGAUUAAUUAUUGGAUCAUUUUUUGAGCCUGAAUUCCUCUUAAUUAGUAAAACAAUAUAUAUAGUGCAUGCGUAAAUCUUAUUAAUUAAGCUAAUUUUCUAUCUUCAUCACCAUAAAUAUUUGUUUUAAGUUGAUAAUUAGAGUUUAGUGGUUUAGCACUAAAGGAUGUAGUGCGUCAAUGGAUGAAACUGCUCUUCCUUAACCAAAUGUCUCGAGUUUGAACUUUGGGCAUGAAAAAGCUUUUUCUGAAUGAAGCCCACACGAUGCGAAUCUGAAUUAAUCGGAGACAUGAUAAAAUUAAAAAAAAAAAAAAAAAGAGUUUAGUGGCUUGUUUGUAGAUAACACAACUUGUUUGAAAUUGAUGUGUACAUAUAUAUUCCAAAUCAAUAAUUUUUGUUGUGUCAAUUAGUAUGUCUGAUGUCACAAAUUUCAGGACAUUUUUUCAGUAGAUAAGAGACAGUUCACAAAUUACAGGAAAUAUGCUGGAACUUAGAUUAAUAUAUUAAUUAAAUAUGAAAGUCGCAUUCCCACGUAUGUAAUGUAUACAAGCAAAAUACUACGUAGAUUCAUGCAUCGGUGUUCGAAUGGAUUUAUUUAUUUUCUAUAUCCUUUUGAAAAUAGAGAGGUAGUCGCAACAGUAGAAGCUAAUCACCUUGUACCCUUCAGAUCACUCGACCCCGAUAGGCCAGUCUCAUAUGCUAUAUAUCUAAGUAAAGGGUUGCUCGAAACGUCACAUACUUGUUAAGUCGGUUACUCAACUAAAUUUUAUUUCAGUUAAUCAGUCAAUAUAUCUUUUUUGUCACAUAAAAGUCACUUAAUUUAUGAUAGUUAUUAUCUCAUAAAGUCACUCAAUUUUAUUUGAUAACACAAACGUCACUCAACUAAUGACACUAAUUACUAUUAAUUUAGUAACUUUUGUGUUAGUAAACAAAUAAAAUUGCAUGACUUUCUAAGAUAAAAUUACUAAUUAAGUGACCAUUUGUGAAAUUAACCUGGAAAAGUACUUUAGUGAUCCCCAUGGCCAUAAGUAUGACCAAAUUAUUUUAUAUAUAUAAUAUAUAAUAACAUCAUCUAAAAAUUUAAACGAUUAAAGUGAGCAUAUUUUAAUCAUGAUAUCCACUUCAAUAUUUAGCCAUUUCUAAGAAAUUCUUUAAACAAUAGUAAAAGGAACAAGUAAGCCGGGAGCAAUGUUGCUCAUGACUUAGGCUGCCAGCUAUAGCUUAUCUUCAUUAUUUUCUUCUAGAUUUUUAAAAUUUUAUAUCUGCAUAUAUAAAUACAUAUAUGAAAGCAUCAUAUACUAAAACUACAAAAAAAAAACAUUUUUUUUAGGGCAACUCCGUUUUUAAAAAAAAUUAUUUUAGUGAAUCUUGAUUAGACCUGGGGAACUCCUUUUUUCAAGGUAAGGAGCCUCCUCCUAUUGAAACUCGAGGUAUGGACGGAUCUAGGAUAUUGUUAGGGGUUCAUUUUUUUAAAAAAAAUAUCAAAAAAUUUCAUUGUAUAUAUUAAGUUUAAAUUAAAUUUUAUGUAUAUAAAGUUGAUAUUGAAUUUCUAGACUUAUUUGUUUAUUUUUUUUAUAUUAUGAAUUUUAUUAGUGAAAAUCCUGAUUUGUUCACUAAUAAGAGGAUCUUCUUUCAGAACAAUUAUCUAUCCCAUUUAAAUUUGUUUGUUUUAUUUUAAUUUAUUUUUUAGUCCAUUUUAAAAAGAUCUCUUUCUUUCCACGUGCAUGGCAUAUUUAAAGAUCACAAAAAUAAAAGACAUUUUAAUACAUUUAAAUAUAUUUUUAAUUUAAUAUUAUAAUAUUUAAAAAUCUUCUUUAUCUUUUUAAAUUUCGAGCCAAAUCAAAAUCGAAAAAACAUUUUAUAACGGAUCAAGAAGUAUUAUUGGGUAGGUCAUCACUGCUGAAAUGUCUACUCAUAUAUCACAUGGCAUGGAGCUUAGGGGUUGAGAGUGGAUGAUUCACAAACCAGCAAACUUAAAGUUACUUCAGCGUUUAAAAAAGAAUGAUCUAGUUUGACUUGACACUAAAUCUAAGAAAAUAAAUAAAUAAAAUUAAUUUUAUGAUUUUAAAUUAAAGUUAUGUCAAAUAUAUCAAAUAUUUUUUGAUUUUUUAGUCUUAAACAUAUUACAUAAAAAAUUAAGAUCAUUUUUUAAAGUAACAGACUACAAAGAAAAUAAACUCAUUCUAUUUUAAACGGAAGAAGCAAUUAAUAAGGAAAAAAAGUAAAAGAGAAAAGGUACAAUAUAUGAAUGAUGAUUGGUAAACACAAAGUCGACAAGCAAAAAAAGGGAUGCAUCGCUAAGUGGAAGAUGAUUUCAUCUUUCUUUUUGAAGAUCUUGAAUGUACUAAUACCAAUUAUUAUUAUUUUUUAUUUGUUGAAAAGGAAAUAAAAUAUCUUCUUUUUUUUUGCAAUAUAUCUUUGCAUAAGCGUCCGUACUAUUAGCUAGCUAGCGUGGUACCUGCCUGUUUGUUUUCUUUGGUCUCGUGUCUUAAAGUGGCGGAAUCAAAUUUUUUGUUAAAUAAAUUUAUAUAUAUAUACUUCCUCUAAUCUAUAUUAAGUGAAUUGUUAAGGAUAUAAUAUACCUCUUAUGAAAAAAAUGUUUAUGAAUUUAAAUUAAAUGUUAUUUUCUACUAUUAUCCUUUUAAUUAUUUUUGAACUAUUCUCCUAAAAAUAUAUAAAGUAGUUAAACCUCAUUAAAUGAAGGACAUAUGGAAAAAAGUCUAAAUAAUUUUUUUUUUUAACUUUGAAUAAUUCACUUAUUUUGAACUAUGAAAAACGAUAUAACAAUUCACUUAAUAUGAACUAGAGAAGUAGUGUUUUCUCUGUUUCAAUUUGUUUGUCUUGUUUGUAUUUGAUAUAGUUUAAGAAAGUAAAUAAACACUUUUGAAUCUUGUGGUCUUAAAUUAAAGAUAUGUCAAAUGUAUCAAAAUAUUUUUUAAUUAAUGUUGUGGUCUUAAACAUAUCAAAUCGUGGAAAGUUGAAAUUAAAGAGUCAUCAUAAAAGUAGAAAGACAUUCUUUUUUAAACGGACUAAAAAUGAAAAUAAGAAAAACAAGUUAAAAUUGAUAAAAUAUUUUUUUGUGCCAAGCGAAAUUUGAAUGAACCCCUUGAAUCAAUGUGAACUCCGCCCUACUCUUGAAAUUCGAUAUUUUUGAGGUCACGAUAAAUGCUCAUUAUUAUGAUUUUUUUUAUUCUAAAAAUUCGAACUGGAGUUCCCGAUCCUCACAGUGGUAACCUUGCCUAAUUAACAAUAUGGGUUGUGGUGCACCAAAAGAAAUAUUUCACCCUCAAUCAAAGGUCUCGAGUUUGAGUCCCGAGUAUAGAGAAAAUCAUAUUGGGUGAGCCACCCCCGAAUGAGCCCUGUAAUGCGUGAUUUAAAUUUAAUCGGAGCUUCAAUACAAACUCCAAACACCUAACUAAUUAUUUUUUUUUAAAAGGAAAAACUUUCCUAAUUAACCGACAAGUACUAUAACAAGAAACACUAUCAUUAUGAUGUCAAUUUAAUGUUGAUUGAAUUAAAAUGCUAUUCCUUGAUGUCAAUAUUUAACUUUUACUUACUACGUAUACUCUACGAAUAAAAUAAUAUUUAUUUGGAUUUUGUAGCAUUUGCCACGAAUCUCCAAUUUGACAUAAUACAACUUCAAAAUGUAAUUCGUUACACCUAUUAUUUCUACUUUUUGGACCAUAUCGUUAAAGCAAUUAAGGUCUAUUAUAUCACAUGAACAAAUCAGCUAUAGUUAACCUUUAUGAAAAAUGGUUUAUUAUAAGUGUUCAUCAUUCAAUAUGGGAAGUAGUAAUACGUGUCCCAAACUUAUCAACCUAUAAUGCAUAUUAUGCAAGAAAAUAAUUUCAUAACCCUUCUUUUGCUCAAACUUAACGAUUCAAAUUUAACAUUCACUAAAUUAUUUUCUCAAAAAAAUACUCUCCAACAAUAGUUGUCCACUAUUGACUUGAUAGUACUAUAUUAUCCUUUGACUUUAUUAAUUUAAUGUUUUGAAAAAUAUGUUUGAUGAUAAAUAAUAUUUAAUAGCAAGGGUAAAAUAGACACAAAAGGUAAAUUAUCUCUUGAUUUUUUAAAUUGGACAAGUAUUGUCGGAUAACUAUUUGUAGUAUAGUGGACAAUUAUUGUUGAACGAAGGGAGUAAAUAUAAUCCUUUAAAUUUAUGAAUAAAACAAUAAAAACCUGGGCCAUAACAAUUCAAUUAUCCCAUUUAUAAUCACAGGUUGAUAUAGGAUUAGUUUUUUUUCACCCUUAAUUCGAGGUCAUACGUUUAAGUUUUAAGGAUGAAAAAAUCACGAUAAAAAGUGUUUUGUUCUUUAAUGGAUCUAACUAACACAAAUUUAAAUUAAUCGAGUCAGUAGAUUGUAGCUAUUGAGAGAAGAAUUGGACCAAUAUAUUAGGACAACCUAUAUAAGAUAAAAAGUUUCCAUAGAAAAGAAAGGAAAAUAGCAUGGUAAAGAUGUUUAAAUCUUGUUUGAGAUGCUUAAUUGGAGCUAAGAAUAAAAUGAACAA